UUAGUUUUAUCCCUACUAUUCUGUUGUUAUAGCUUAGUCAGUUUAUAUGGUUCAGUAUUUUUAUUACAUUGGAAUAUGUGGACUUUCAUGAAUGUAAUAAAAGGAUUUCUGGAUUUGGUAAAAUAAAAGGUUUUCUACCCCUCGUGGUAGCUUUUAUAAAAGAUAAAAGUUUUCGCGUAUGGAACAGUUUUUAAAAGAUUUUUCGUGGACUUUUGUUUAAACAUCGAAUGUAAAACUACGGUGUGAAUGGUGAAUGUAUGAAUGUAUAGCUAUCUGUAUAUUCAUUUAGUUGUGGUUGUAUACUGUUUGUACUUUUGUACUUGUGCGACGCCAUGCAAAUACAGGGGAGACUCUGUCCGUGUGAACAGUGGAUUCCCUGUGUUUGUGGCGGAUCUGACAUACUCUGGGGUCAGGUGUUUCAAAAAAAAAAAAAAUUUAGUCGUUUCCGCUGUUUUUCCAAACUAAAAAGGGACCCCGGGGCGUGACAAUUCAACCAACCACCCACUCAACCCUGGGAGCCCACUAUUAACCUAACUGUAACAACUCUCAUCCCAACCGCACAUUUUUUCAUAUGAACGACCGAAAAGUUAUGAGUACAAAGGGCUUUAUACUCAUAUGAGUAUAGUAACCCUAGCUAUAUGUAUAUGUAUAUGUAUAUGUAUAUACAUAUAUAUACAUAUAUGUACGUACAUAUAUGUACGUACAUAUAUGUACAUAUAUAUAUAUAUAUGUAUACAUAUAUGUACACACAUACAUAUAUACAUAUACAUAUAUACAUAUACANNNNNNNNNNNNNNNNNNNNNNNNNAUAUAUAUAUAUAUACAUAUAUAUACAUAUACAUAUACAUAUACAUAUACAUAUACAUACAUAUACAUAUACAUAUACAUACAUAUACAUAUACAUAUAUAUACAUAUGCAUAUAAUUGGGUUGAAAUGCUAUUAAUAGUAUUUGAACUCUUUUGCUAUCGAGUUUUUAAAUUUUGGAUUAAAAAUUAUAGGGUUAGGAUGAUAGUGGUCCCCUGGAGUUUAGUGGUAGUCCCCCUAGGGUUGAGUGGGUGAUUGAUUGAAUAGUAUAAUUUAAAGGAUAGAAUUGAUUACGGUGUAAAUCUAACGGUUAAAAAAUCAAUAGCAUAAAAGCCAGAAUGGUAUUAAUAGUAUUCCAGCUCAACUCUCUCUCUCUCUCUCUCUCUCUCUCUCUCUCUCUCUCUCUCUCUCUCUCUCUCUCUCUUUAUAUAUACUAGUGAAGGCCCAAAUGUAAGUCUCGCGGAGGAGCAUGCUUGGCAAACUGCUUGGAUUGGUAUUCCGCUGUUAAGUCUGGGAGACUUGUCCAUGUAACUCCGCGGCGGAAAAUUUACGCAAUUUUUAAAAUAUUUAAAAAUUUUAAUUUUUUGAAUCUUCAAAUCUAAUUUUAAAUUUUAAACUCUAAAAAAAUGAAGAGAGAGAGAAAAAUAAAAAAAAUUAUUUAAAUACUGAGAAAAUAUAUUUAUUGUGGGUUAGGAUUAUCGGGGCCGGGUUUCGGAGUUUUGAUCGGGUUCGGAUUUGGAUAUGGAUUUGUAAAAUCCAUCGAAUUCGAGUUCGGAUUUGGGUUUAAAUUUUAAUUUAAAAUUAAAUUUUAGAUUUUAAUUUUUUUUUUAUCCACAUCCAUACAAAUUAAUAAGAAAAAAAAAUUAAAAAGAGGGGAAAAAAAAGGAAUGAAGAGAGAGAGGAGUGGGUCGCCCGCGGCCGGCCGCGCCUGCUCGUCGCGUGCGGCCCGGCCCGCCGUCCCCCCCACGCCUGCGCCAGCUUGCACCGCCGCCCGCCUGGGAGAGAGGGGGGGGAGGGAGAGACGCGGACGGGGCGAGGGGGGGGGGGGAAGGGAAAGGAAAGAAGGGAGAGAGGGUGGGGGUGGGGGAGAGACUGGAGAAAGCUGAGGGGAGGGAAAGGUAAAGAGGAAGGGGGGAGGACUCUCGCCGCGCGGGGGCCAUGGGACCUCCGUGUGUGUGUUGUGUGUGUGUGUGUGUGUGUGUGUGUGUGUGUCUCUCUCUCUCUCUCUCUCUCUCUCCCCGCGUGGCGCGCGCGGGGGCGCGGUCGGGGACACCCCUAGGCGGCCCGCACCUGUCGGCGCGGUCGCGAGCCGUGGGAGAGAAAGAGGGGGGGAGAGAGCGAUGUGGGUGAGAGAGAGAGAGAGCCGUGUGGGGGGGUGGGGGGGCCUGGGGGUGGAGAAGAGAGUGAUGAGAGAGAGAACCGGGGGGGUGGGGCCUCUUUCUCUCUCUCCCCCCCCUCUCUCCCUCUGCUUUCUCUCUAUCUCUCCCCCUCUCUCCCUCUGCUCUCUCUCUCUCUCUCUCUUGCGCGCGCGCGGGGGGCGCGGUUCACCCCCACGCAGGCACCCCCCCUCUCUCUCUCUCUUUCCUCCUCUCUCCCUCUGCUCUCUCUCUCUCUCUCCCCCCCUCUCUCCCUCUGCUCUCUCUCUCUCUCCCGCGCGCAGGCAUCUCCUCUCUUUCUCACUUCCUCCCGAGCGCCAAGAAGGCGCCACCAUGUAGGGGGCGCGGGGCGUGCACACCCGCCGGGCGCCGGUCGCGCGCACGCUAGGGAGAGAGAGAGAGAGAGAGAGAGAGAGAGAGAGCCGGGUGGGGGAGGGGGGCCCACCGAAGCCGCGAGAGAGAGAGGGGGAGCCGGAGAGGGGGUGUGGGAGAGAGAGAUGAAAAAAAAAAAAAAAAGGGGCCCACCGAAGCCCCCGCCAAAUGCUGGGAGGCUUCGGAGGGAACUUCCAAAUUAAUAUAUCUAUAGUCUAUAGAUAUAAACUAAUAUAAGGAUGUUUUAAUCAUGUCUGUUUGUCAAGAACUUUCCAAGAUACCCUAACCGUUGGAUUAGUUGUAUUCUUAGGGAUCGCCUUAAAUAAUCACGUGGGUCACAUCCAACACAUAGUGUGCCACAUGAUUGCCACUCUCGCUACAACAAAACUGCCAUUUAGUGGACGUAAUUGUAAUUCGGUUAAAUCAAGUUUGGCGGGAGUAAAACUAUUGGUCUUGCCAUUAACUAGCCUAAUGCCAAAGAGCUUCACUGUCUAGUUGUGGAUUAGACUUUAAACUUUUCCACAAAAGAUGACUAUGGACCAUUUCAAAGGGGAUUUAUUUUCAAGAAAUUAAGCCUAUGGCUACCUGCCGGAUAUUCUCAGGGCAUGUUUGGUUCGUCCCUUUUUAAUUCUGAAAUCGGAAUUGAAAUGAAUGAAUCUGUUUGUCCGUGUUUGGUAUGCGGGAUUUCUAUUUCGAUUCUGAUUCCCUUGUGAAUGGGAAUCCCCCAAAUUACCCUAUUUUCCAAUCCAGACUCCUAGGCCAGAUUGGAAAUUGAAUCCAGGCAGAAUGAAUUUGUUCGGAUUAAAUUUAAUUUUUUAAACUUAUUUUUUAAUUAAAACAUAAGUUUAAAUUUAAAAAUUAUAUUUAUAAAUUUUAAUUUUAAUUUGAAUUUAAAUUAAAAAAUUAGAAUUCAAUCAAACAUUUCGAAUUUAAUUUAUAAAUUUAAAUUUAAUUUAAAAUUUAAAAUUUUAUUUAAAUUUUAUUUAAAAUUUAAAUUAAGUUUAUGGAUUCAAAUUGAAAUUUGCAUUAUAAUUUUAAGUUGAAUUUUAAUAAAUCAAAAUGUAGUUUUAUACUUAGAAUUAUCCGUUCAAUUUCAAAUUUUAAUUUUAGAAAAAAUAUAUUUAUUUAAAAUUUUGACAUCAUUUUAAAAUUUUGACGUAAAUUUUUAAUAUUUAAUUUUCAGUAUGAAUUUAAACUAAUAUAUUACAAAUAUAAAAUUGAUAUAUUAAUUUGAUUACUUUUUCGUUAUCUAUCUGAACCAAACGUAGACAAUGAAAAUGAUUCAUUUCGAUUUCGAUUUAGAUGGCGAACCAAACAGAAUGAGAUAAUAAAUCAUUUCGAUUCUGUUUCCAACUUAUUCACAUUUCAAUUCCGAUACCGAUUCCGACUUCGAACCAAACAACGCACCGUCAGUAUCUUCAUUAUGGAUUUCAAGACUCACACUCCUAUUAAACUUGAUUUAACUGCAAUCCAAAUGUGAAUUGCAAGACUUGCUUUUAUAGCAGGGGUCGGCAGAGGUACCGGUCGAUUUUGUUGCAACAGCCAGUAAAAGAUUAAAAUAAUUGCUGCUACAGAGUACUCGCUUCUGCGGCAAUUGGAAAUGCCAUUGUGAGUCCAAUUUAGCAGGCAAUAAAAGUUCUGUAGUCCUUACAAUUGCCACUAUAAACACAAAACAAAUGGAUACUAAAAUCAAAGGGAGAAUAUCUAAUAUGCCCUUCAAAACUUAGAAAAUAUCUGAUAUAUCCUAGAUGACCAAAAGAUGCUCUGAUUGCACAAAAAAUUCGUUCAAAUAUAUUCCUACCCCGAGGAUUUACUAGUGGGAUUUGAGGUUUAAAAUGGUAUUUUGGAAAAUGAAAGGUAAAUUUGAAAAUUUUGAAUAGUAGAGGGUAUAUAAGCAAAAGCCCCAACAUUAAAUUAUAGCCACAACUAUUCAUCGCAAAAAAUAUGCCUGUGUAACAAUAAUCACUAGAAAUACUAUUUAAAUUAGUACAUACAUCAUAAGAUAUAUUUCAAAUAUUCCAGAGGUAUCCAAUUAAUUAAAUAUUAAAAGCAUUAUCAAAAGAGGAAACUAUGAUCGCUGCCACAAAUCAAUGGCACCAACCCAUCAACCUUUUCUACUGAGCAGGUUCAAGACUAAUGCAAGCAUGCUGUAUAGAAAGAGAUGAAACUGUUUCUAAUCCACACAAAUAGCUAGAAAUAGAAGAAAACUAAACUAACAACAAAAGUAAGGACACGAAAGAAAUUGAAACGAAGCACAUGAUCAUCAUCACAUAUUUUGACAACCAAGGAAUUAGUAAUUCGGUACACUUACAUGGUCUAAACAUUUAGCAACUUCCUCUCUCACGGGCACGUCCAGCCAGAACACUAGAUUCAACAUAUCCAAACAUGAACAACAUGCUUGGUCUGCUUCCUAUGUUUCUUAAUCUAGCUCACAACUUUUAGAAUAUAGAUAAUCUCUCGAUUCUCAUCAUUGUCAGUGGCAAGCUCAUCUAUACCAUUAUCACAUUCAUCAGAACAGGACGAUUCAUUAGGUAUUUUUGCAACCACUUCCACCUGACCACCAAUGUACAGUAGCUCUGGUACGUGUCGGCACUGCCUACUAGGGCAUAAGUUUAAGGUAGCAGCUAUCCUCUGAGGCACAACGAAUAGGACAUGACCACCAUUGUACAGUAGCUCUGGUGUGUGUCGGCACUGCCUACUGCGGCAUUAGUUUAAGGUAGCAGCUAUCCUCUUGGCACAACGAAUAGGACAUGAACAAGAACUUGCGUAGAAGAGAGGAAUUAAAUGAGCAAUUUAACUGUUUACAAAUAGGGGAACAACGUUCCUUAAUUACGUAUAUAGAGCACAAGAACUACGCAACAGAAUAUAAUAUAAGUGGAGUCAAUUACAGUCGAAGUGAAAAAAACUAACAUUCUGCUUCAAGCAGUAAACUAAGAAUGUUGAUACUGCUUUAGGCUCAACGUUAGUGAGAUCUACCUGUCAUCUAAUUGUUCAAAGCCUUCUGAAGGGAACAAGCAGAGGUAAAGUAUUGCACCCUAAAAUACUUGUACAUAUGCCCAUAAAUAUAGUUCCAGACAAUACCUUGACUUGAGAAUGACCUUCUUUUUCAAGGUUCUGACCAAGUUUUUUCCUGUAGAGCCCGUAAUCCCAAAGUCUUCCUCAGUAGACAAUAUUCUUCCCUCCUGGAGUGAGCAGCAUCAAUAAGAGGAAUGAUAACGAACACCAUAAAUUGUUCACCAGGGAAUUUGGAAAGAUGAUAGUAGAAUGUAGUAGACAAUGAAAAUUACACCGAGUGCAGUUUAUUAAAGUGUAACUAAGCCAACAAAGUAACACAGUUUCUUUAAUCACAACUAAUAUUUAACAAAAUCAGCAAUUUACAAACUAAUGGAUGAACCGGCUUUGGAAGCAUACGAAACAGGACAUAAAUCAGUGAAGAUGAGCUUGUCUUGCAGCCAAAUGUCCAUAAAGAAAUGCAGAUUUUAUUGUGUAGAUUUUAUAUUGAUCAUAUAUCCCUACUCAUUAUUGCAGUUGUUUUGUUCCACAGUUUGUGUUCUUUCUAACUAUAUGCAGAGAGAAAAAUCAGACAGUAAAAUUUACCACUGAAGCAACCCUACCUCACGGAUGCUAAGCUGAUUGUCACAGACUAAGUGAUGUGAUGCUUAAAAAACUUGAACAAUUAUGAUCUGUUCGGAUGAAUGAAUUUUUAACCCACUUAAAAAUUUUAAAUUGAAUUUCUUGUAAAACCCAAAACUACGAACAAUAGCGCAACAUAACAGGCUACACAUUGCGAGCCUCCAAGAUAAAACUAUCAACAUCUCAAGAAGGGAAUCAUCAACUCAAAGCACCGAACUCAAUGGAUUGAAGUGAAAUAUUCCCAAGAUACAAAUCUUUAACAUGCUGGCUGCACAAGCCAAUUCGUUUUCCAUUCAAACUAGCAUGAAUUGAUACCGCGAAACCUGUCUUCCAUCCAGGAAACCGUUGCUUCUCCUUCACAUGAAGCGUGUACAUGCUUGGUGAAGCAUUCAUGCAUCCCAUAACAAAGCAAUUGAUUACACGAGUCGGAACCCUAACCCUAGAUAAAGAUAGUAAACAUAAACCACUAUGAGAAAUACCAUACAUCAAAGCUUCAUCAUCAUGAGCGAAAGGAGAGUCAUAACCAAUCAAUUUCAUUUCGGUCUCUAAAUCAUAUCCUGUUGGAAUUCCAUGUUGGUCCAAUUCAAAACGCUUCUCUAUUGAAACUUCAUGCAUACGGUACUUGGCUGCUAAUGUCCUAAUGCACGAUUUCCUAACACAGUCAACUAUUAAGAGUUUGAUUUCUUCAAAAUUGUCAAACUCAGAAUACCAUCUAAGCCACCGUUUAACUAAUCCAGAAAACCAGUUUAUGAUUAGAGUGUCGUCUUGUAAGACAAGGGCAGAGACAUGCCUAGAGAACCCCUCAAUGUUCAUCAAUCCAUAACGAUAAAGGCUUUUUUUCACAUAUUUAAUAGGUGCUUCCAUCUUAGUAAUAAUAUUUUCAGUGGUUGUGGAGCAAUUUAGCAAUGCAAGGGUCGCAGCUGACUCUGACGAAACAUAUUCUUUGGCCUUUAUUUGGAAAUUGUAAAAUGAGUCUCUCAAGUCUUGUGGUAGUGCUGGUUCAGCGAUUUGUUUGGAUAGAAGAACAUCUUCAUUUGCUUCAGUUUUGGCUUUAAUAUCUUGCAUCCAGAUGUUCAGCAAGGACUUAAACCAGUGGUCAGUUUUCAUUCCCUCUUUACGAAAUUGAGAAAUAUGAUCCAACAAUGGAGAGCUUAGACCGAGUUGCUUGAUCUCAGAUUCCUUGAUCCUUCUUAAACCAUGUGCAAGCCACUUCUUGCCUAUUCUUAGAUUCAUAGCAUCCCAUAUUUCCUGCUUCUGAGAAGCAAAAAGCGAGACCUUGUCCUUCAACUUGUGCACCGCUUUUAAUGCAGUACUUUCUUUUUCAGUCACCCGGACAACUGUACCAGCAAAUUGCAAACUGCAGGAAUUCUUACUGACUGUCAUUAGAUCCACUUUAUCCUCCACAUCCAAGAAAAGUGAGUUGUUCAAGUAAGCUAUAACUUCAGUUUUUACAUCUUGUGCAACAUCUUUGGAUCCAAAGAUUGCAAUAAAAAUCUCAUCCAUAUAUCUACAUGCAAAAAUUCUUGUCCCUACACCAUCUUUUAUUUGCUUCUCAUUUGUAUCAUCUCUGUCUUUUAUUUGCCUUUGAAACCAGCGGCGUAAGUUUGAGCCAUCAACAUUUUUAACAUUAUUUUUAUCUGAACGAAGUGCUUCAUAUCUCAUGCUUAUUCUGAAUAAUUCACGAUCUAAAACAUCAAGAUAAAUGUUCAUAAGGAUCGGUGAGAGGACACCUUCUUGCGGAAGUCCAUGUCCCUUGGGAUAGCCUCCAAACACCAUGUUGAGCACUCGAGCAUUAAACAAACUCUGAAUGAAGCUGAUCAAGUGAGCAUCUUCAAUCUUCUCCUUGAAUUCUAAAAUGAGCUUAGAAAGGAUUAUCCCAUUAGCCUCUUUGUUCAUAGGAAUUGUAAAGCACCAAUCAGGUCUUCCAAUCUCUUCACAGAUAAAUCUAAGAGCCGAUCGGCACCCUCUUCCACUUCUGCAACCAUGAGAAAUCUUAGAGAAGUGAGGCCUAAAUACCACCUCAAGAACUACACGUAUUGCUUCUUGAAUUACUUUCAGUUUUAACCUAGGGAGGACCAAGCACUCUUUUCUACUACCCUUUGCAAUUAUCACUAUGGUAUUACCUUCGAUAUCAAAAUCCCCACUUUCAAGCUGCUCGGCCAAGGAAUUAAAACAAACAUCAUGUCUUCUAGAAGCCAAAUCAACAUUCGAGUUGAGACAUAUAAUAUCAUAAGCAUCACGGAGAGAAUCAGGGUUGGCAACCACAGUACCCAUAAGAUCAUGAAACUUCCCAUUCAGAAAUUGCGCCUUGACCUUCUUCUUAAUCCGGAGCUCGAUCAAUCUCUUCUGCUCCAUCCGUGACAAGGGCUUUUGCCGGUCUACAGUGAAUUCUUCUUGAAGACAAGCUAAGCUCUUUGCCAAUGAGAAUGGCACCCUGCCCGUAUGUUGUCUUCGUGUGACAUCCUCUCCAGCCUCUUCAACUUCAUCGAGCAAGAAAUGUGCAUUGUAGGAUCGAGACACUUCGCGACAGUUUCCUAACGCACCAAUAAAAAAGAUCUUAAUUACACUGAAAUACUAACUAAAGAUAAGCUAGACAAUAAAAAUUAUGAAAGAAAUGCAAAAUGCGGUUGUAGAUUACCAAAAUAAACUGCAAAUGAGUUGGAUAUGCUGCUAACUCUUGGAAAAAAAUGGGUUGCUCUAUUGCGGCUUCUCAUGCAUGCCCCCAACAACAUCUCAUUAUUUAGGACCUGUUUGGCAACUCUAGAAUUUAAACAGAGAUUUAUAUUCCAUAGUAAUAGGUUAGUACCAACUCCUGAAUACGCUAGGAUUUUUUACUCUUUUUUUCAGUGCUUGGAUAAAAUACCAUAUUUUUCACAGGAUUAGAAAAACAGCUAGUUUUUCCAAAACUAGCCGUUAGUUUUUUCAAAAAUUAAAGCGUCUAUAAGUGCCCAUAACUUGUCCAAAAUAUGCCAAAAUAACCUAUCAUUCCUUCUUUCUCUUCAUAUUCAGUAUAUUCAACUUUUUCCAUUUCAAUAUCUUCUAUUACUUAUACUUUUGUAUAAAAAUCAUGGAAUGAAGUGGUUAGAGAAGGAUUCAGCAAAGUGAUGACAGGUUCAUGGCAAUUAUUCUUUCCUAUGAUGGCAAUUAAUGUCAGGACGCCCAUCCACACUUCCAUCCUACCUAAAGCAAAUUACGUUAACGAAAUUCUUCACGACUAUGAAAGUAGAUGCAAGAGAGGGUUUCGAAUGGAGGCCAAUGUUCCAAAAUGCUGUAGCUGACUUCAUGCCGUUACCCACCGCAUAGUGUAUAUGCAAUAUGCGGGCGCACAUACAGUCCAGCUAUUAAAAUAUAAAAAGAUAUUUAUAUGUAUUAAAAAUAUACAUGUACUUCCUUAAAAAAGCUAAAUAAAUAAAGUAACAAUUCAAAAUUCAUAAGUUGAAAUAAUUAAUUUUACGUAACAGAUCUCAUGUGCCCCCUCAACUUUAUUUUGAUUGAUUGAAAUCUUCUGGGCUUUUUUCUAAAAAAAAUUUGAUCGAAAGAUUUUAGUAUUUUACUCAAUUAAUUAAAUUAAAUGUUUAUAAAAUUUUAAAAUCAUAAAAUUCUUAGCUAAUUCUAUAGUUUUAAUAUUUUAAUUAAUAUUUGGCAAAUAAAUUUAAAUUCAGUUAAUAACUAACAAAGUAAUUAAAUGUUAAAAAAUUAUCAAGUUUUAGAUAAAUUAAAAAAUCACAAAAUGCUACUGUCAAGGGGGCCUUUCCAAAAUGACCUACAGUUCAGGGUGUUCGGAGAGAGAGAGGAAGAGAGACCAAAACAAAGAGAGAGGACUUUUUUUCAAAUAAACCCUUAAAAUUUAUAAUUUGCCAAAUGACCCUAUCAAAAUUUUAUUUGGCCAUAACCCUAUUUUGUCCAACUCAGUACAAAGGUGGAAGAACAAUUAGGAAACAGUGAAUAGUUCGCCAUCUUUAAUAAAUUUAAAAGACGGUGAAUUCUUUAUCAUCUUUUCCUUUAGAUAGAAAGUUGUAAACGAGUCGCCGUUUCUUUCUAUUUCCUAUAUAGAAUCCCAAAAACCACAUAAAAAUUUCAACGAAUCACAUACAAUCUUACAACCCAAAAAAUCCUAACAACCUAUAGUACAAUCCUAACAAUCAAACAAAAAUUCCAAUAAUCCAUAUACAAUCCUAACUACCUCACAAAAAUCCUCACAACCUAUACAAAACAACGAUAACAAUCUGAAAGUAAGGAAUAAUUCACUGCUUUUUAAAGACAGUGAAUGAUUCACCGCCAUUCUCAUUUUUAUCCAACAUGUCACUGAGUUGGCAAGAAAAGGAUUAGUUGGCCAAAUAAAAUUUUGGAAGAGUCAUUUGGUCAAUUAUAAAAAAAAUUUUCAAUUAUAAUUUUUUUAAGGAUUAUUUUAUAAAGGAGCUUUUGCUUAUUUACCCCUUACUACUAUUCAAAAUUUUCAAAUUUAUCCCAACAUUAUCAAAAUACCCUUCUAAAACCUAAUCCCAAUAGUAAACCUUGGGAAAAAUAGGGAUAUUUGAAGGAAUUUUCUUAAAAUCAAUGUGUAUUUUGGCCCUCCAAGGAUAAAUAAUAUACUUUUGAAGUUUUGAGGGCAUAUUAGAUAUUUUAACCCUUUUAUUAAAGUAGUCCUGACAGAGAUCAUAGGCAUAAUGGUGUAUGUAGUAGGCCUGUCAACGAGUCAAACACGAGCGAGCUUGAGCUUGGCUCGAGUGUUCGGCUCGAGCUCAUGACGAGCUCAAAAAGUCCAGCUCGUGAUCAACUCGCAAUUUAUUAGGGCUAGCUUGUGUUUGACUGGUUAGCUCGAUUAAUCAAUGCAACCUCGUUAGUCAUUAACUCGUUAGCUCGUUAGCUCGUGACUCGGCUCGUUAGCUCAUGUCCGUGUUCAGCUGGUUAGUUCAAUUAGAAAUUAAAAUACAUUUUGAAGGUAAAAGACAUUGACAACAAAGAAUGGAUAGAAAAAAAUUAAUCUGCAGCAAAUCACAAUAAUUUACAAGUAAACAUGACAAUGUAAAAUCCAUUACUAUCUAGUACAUUGUCAAAAUGAAAAAACAUUACAACACAACAAUUUAAAAUGUAUUUUAAAAUAUAAAACAUUAACAACAAAGAGUAGCCAGACAAAAACCAAUAUGCAGCAAAUCGUAACAUAAAAAUUCAAAACCCAACACAUUGCCUAAACAAAAGUUACAACAUAAUACAAUUUAACUCAUCCUAAUUUAACACAUUGAAAAUUAGGAUUCAAUGCCUUGCACAACAUAUUGAAUCAUGUGUGCUCAAACAUCAGAAAUGGAUAUUCAUGAACUAUAAUCAUCUUAGCCAUAAUUUCUCGAAUUUUAAAGGUAUCGUAAAAUGCAGUAGGGCCAAAGUAGACAACUAGAAAUUCUACCCCAUUAUCUAGAGCUUCACUUGGUGUUAAAAUUGAUUAAAACUUGAUCUUUAGCUGAUUUUCAAGUAAAAACACUCAUUCAUAUGCCUUUUUAGUUGUGUGGUGGUGCCCAUCUUUGGUUUUGAAUACUUCGUUUUACAAUAUUUGCAUCUAAUCUUUUUCACUAAGACUAUAUUCCCAAGAACUUCUACUUCUUCAAAACAUUCUCAAACCUUAGAAAUUUUUUUUAUGACUUUUCUUUCCUUAUAGUUCAUUUCAAUCUCUUCCACACAUUAUUAUCAGUUGUUUCAUCUUUCUCUUGGGUAUCAGAUGGUUCAUUAGUGCCAACAAUAGAUGCUAAUUGUUGAGAUGAAUAAGGAUGUAGGAAACUUGGAGACUAUGUUGCACAAAUACAAAUACAAGGAUACGGAUACAACACGACACGACACGGAUAAGGUGAUACGGCAAUGCCUAAAAACUAUAGGGUAUGAUGCGCCGGGUAUACUUGAAUAAUAUAUUAUUUUCAAUAUAUUUAGAUAUUAUAUUGAUUAUAUAUAAUGAUAUAUUGAGGACAAUCAAGAUAUUUGGAUUGGAGUAUAUUAAGGAAUAUAUAUACAUUAACUUGUAUAAUUGAUCUACAUCUGUUCAUAAAAAAAGAAAAAGAUAAUCAAUCGUAUGAAAUAAUAAUUCAACAAGUAUGAACCAACUAUCGUCCAAUUUAAUCAAAUGAUAACAAUCGAAAUUUAGCACAAACUAUAUAAUUAGCCAUUCAACAUAUGUCUGUUUUAUUAGGUUCUAUUAUAUUAUACAUUAAUAAAAGAAUAUAUGCUAACAAUAUAAUAGAAGAAGAAAAAAAAUCAUUCUCUAUGGCCUUUGUUAAUUAGUGCUAGGUUGACAAAUUAGACGAAAGAUAGUAAAAGAGAAGCGGUAAAGGACUGAACCAUAGUUUAACACUCUGUGGAGAGAAAGCAAGAGAGAUGGGAACUGUGUAUGUUUAUUUUCAACCAUUCAAAAGUAAAAAGAUAGAAGAAAUGACAAACUGAAGAGAGAUUGGCAUUUUUGUCACUCUUUUUCUUAUUUCCAAUGGGUUUAAAUGUGUAUUUUUGGAAAAAAUUUUGAGUUCCAAUCAUUAUAGACCAAAAAAUAACCUGAUUGUAUCCCCCGAAUCCUUCCCGUAUUCGAGCCGUAUCCGAUAUUUUUUUAUUUUUUAAAAAUAUUGGACAUUCCAUUCCCGUAUUGGACAUGUAUCAAUAUCCGAUAUGGGAACGACAUGAAAUUUGAAGUAUCCGUGCUUCAUAGCUUGGAGAAGACAGAGCUAAAAGACACAUAUAGAUUGACAAAUAAAUAUAUACUAAAGAACAAUAAUAUGCAAAAUAAAUAAAUAUGAUUCAUGCAAGAAAUGGCAACUGUGUAUGUGCUGAAACUUAACAAAGAAAGAAAGUUCAAUUGCCAUGUGAUUCAUUAAAAUAGGGAACUACUUAUGGACCAUGUGAUUCAUUCAAAUAGGGAAUAACUUAUAAUAAACUUCUUACAUUUCAAAUGUAAUUGUGCAAAACAUGUGAAUCUAUAAACAUUCAACGAAAACGUAUAAUGAAAACAUACGAUUGUGAUGUAUUUGAUUCUAAAACCCCUACUUAAUACAGCUACUUUCUAUGAUCAAACAUUCAAAACUGAAAACUCCUAUUCAAACAGCUGUUAUAUACAAUCAAAUUCAACAAAAACAUACAAAUUUACAAGCACUAGUCCAUAUUCCAUAAUGAUGUAUUUGAUUCUAAAACUAAAAAGUGAAGAGAAGGCAACAAAUAAUUUUAGUAUCACAGGUAGUACGCACAUGGGUCUACAACUUUAUGAUUUCUGUUUCAAAUUAUUCCAAAUUGCAGUUUUAUAAGUCCUCUAAGUAAGCUACUAAUUUUCGCCUGUCUUUCUUCAAGUUGUCUCUUUGUUCAACUUAAUACAUCUUCAAGUUCUUUGAAUGUCUUUCUAUUGCUGGAAAGAUUAGACUCCAGUUUGUUGUAAGCAAUCCUCGACUUCCAAAAAAAUGCAGAAUGAUAAAUACAACCUUUAAAAUGGAAAAGAGAUAUCAAUGUUCAAAUUAGAAAAUUUUGGAAUAACUACAAGACCAUAAAAAUAAAAAUAAAAAAAGUUAUCAGUGAAUGAACAUACACACUCUAUUUUGUACCUUGAGAAAUCUAAAUUAAAAAGUUUCUCUUUGAUUGUUCAAUUGAGACGCGUAAACCAAUUGAAUUAUCAGAAUUAGACAAUCUAUACAAAUAUAUAAAUCGGCAAUUUGUCGGUUCCACGUGUCGUCCUCUACAUAAACCUUACCCUUUCUCUUUUCUCUCUACUAUUCUUUCUGUAGGCUAUUAUAGGCCUUAACCCUAGCCCACUAAUUUCUUCUGCAGACUUUUUUCCCUCUUCCAUUCUUUCUCCAUACUACUAUAGACCUUAGCCCUAACCCUCGAAUUUCUUCUACAGAUCUUAUUCCUCUUUCUAAUUCUUUUCCCUACAGGCCUACAACCCUACCUCUCCCUUUCUACCUCUCUCUCCCUUUUCCCUCGACCGCGGCCCCUCGAGCACCCUUCCAGAUCUUCCCCUCUCCGUGGCCCUUCACGCACCCUUCAGGCUCUUCUUGGAGACCUAUAGAGCUAUUCCUGCAGGCCGAUAAUCCUCCUGCAGAUCUUCCCCUCGCCGCCGCGCACAUGGCAACUUGCUUCGUGAUGGAAGCACUCGUGAUGAUUACUCAUGAUAUCGGUCAGCAAGCAGCAUGAGUUUUUUAUUUGAUUGCGUGCUAUGAUGAACUCUAUUGCUCCUCCCUACCUGGUAGGUCUGCGAUUUUAGAUGAUCAAUCAUUUCAUCACCCUUAAGGGAUUCCUAAUUUAAAAAAUGGUACAAGCCAUUUUUAGCCUUAUUCUUUUUCCUUAAGUGUAGCAUUUGUGUAAUUCCUUUUUUUUUUAAGUGCACUUCCUCCUACUACUAUCUCUCAGUUGUUCCCAAAGAUAGCCAAAGGCAGCAUUUCCCCUAUUGCUUGCUCAAGAUUGCAUCAUUGCAGCUAACGAGUGGUUCCUCAAGCUUUCUUGAAAGGUUUGAACUACUUUUACAGGUUUGAGCUAAUUUUACAAUAUUCUUCAUGUGGGCUCAAGUUUUCUUUUAAGGUUUGCACUAAUUUUACAAUAUUUUUAUGUGUUUCUUUUUCAUAAUCUAAAUAAUCAUGAGUUUCCCAAGUUUAUUUUCCUCAUUAUUUCGUACUUAUUCUUGCUUUAAAUAAAUUUAUGCUAGCUUCCUAACUUAUCUUCUUUCUUCUUAUAUUGGUUUAUGGUUACUUAUAAUAGUUUCUAAUGGUAAUAUUUUUUUGAGAAUUUGCAAUUUUCCUAUGAGAAAAUGCAUUCCUCUUUCACACUGUACUUUAGCAUUACUGUAAAAGUGUUGGAAUUAACUCAUCGUCUUUCACACUGUUCGCAUUCCUCUUGCUCCAAGGUAUUAGACCCAAAUGAAUGUUGGUCUCGCUUUUAAUUGGUUACAAGAAUUUUUCAAAUCCUUUACCAAUAUUGACGGAUCCUUUUUUCUGAUUUUCUCUCGGUUAGAAUACUACUUUUUAUUUCUUAAUAUUUCUUACUUAUUCUUCUCUUCUACUUAUAUUUCUACCUGCUAUGCAUACUUUUUUGCUUUACAUAAAUUUAUGUUCACUUCCCAGCUUAUCUUCUGUUUUAAAACAUUUAUUUACUGUUAUUUUUAAUAGUUUCUAAUGGUAAAGUUUUUUUGAGAAUGUUCAAUUUUCCUAUGAGAAUGUGCAUUCCUUCUUUACCACUGUAUUUUAGCAUGAUUGUAAAGGCAAUUGAAACAACCGACCACCUUCUACACUAUUGAUGUUCGGUUGCUUAAGGAAUUAGGCCACAAUCAAAUGUUGGUCUUCUUACUGAUCGGUUAUGAGAAUAUUCAGAAAUUCUUUGCCAAUGUUGAGGAAUCUGUUGCUUCCUCAUCUUUUGGUGACGGCUUACCUAUAGUUUCUUUUGUAUACUUACAGCCUGCUUGCUGAUUUUUGGUUAGUCAAGAAUGCAGCAAUUGGGCCGCAGUUGGAUACUGCUUCUUGACUCUAUUUGCUCAGAUUUAUUCUCAUAGAUAGGAGAAUGCAGCAUUACUGUGACAGUGAGGGGAAGAAAGUAGCAUGAUUCUUUUGUAUGCUUCCUGUGACCACCUAAAUUGAGGGUGCAUUUGCCAAAAAAUAAGAGACCCUGUCGAAUUCUGGUUUGCUUCCAAUCAAUGAUGAAAAUUCUCAGCAAGAAUCAAUAUUGGAUGUCCAAUUGGUUUUGGUGGUAGAGAACAAAUGAAUGUCCAUUUUUCUUUGGAUCAGUGAUGAGGAGUACUUGAGAAUUUUACAAUAUUGACAGCCCUAUUGCAUUAUCAUCUUUUUUCCACUGCUUCCUCAUGAUUCAUUGGCUGCUAAUAUGAGAAUUAGACCACAAUUGAAAUUGUCUAGCUGGGAAUUUCCUGAGAUAUUUUUCGCAAAACCAUAAUCAUAUUGCUUUCUUUGGUCGAAGCGUAGGUCUUGCUUUGGUUCAAUGACGAAAAUUUGCUGAGAUCCUUUUAAAGAGCCCAUGAUUGAUUGUUUUUUCUUACUAUUUACUAUGCCGAUUUUUUUUUUUUCAUCUGCUUGCCCAUAUUUAAAAAUUUUUCGUCGAGCAUACUUACUCCCACUCCCUCUCUUUACUACUUCCUAACACUUUUUUAUAUUCACCUUUUAAUGUUUCACAUGAACUGUUACAGUUUUGUGCACUAUUUUUUUUCCAACAACUUUUUCUGCUUUUUCAAGCUUUUUGUUGGAAUUGUUUUACUUAUUAUUUUCUAUGCGGCUUCUAAAAUUUCUUGAAAUUUUCUUCCUAUGUGUAUUUGAUGUGUCUUACAACGCCCCAUUCUACGUGAAUUGUUUUGGGGGGGACACAGGACCAAUACCAACCAUACCCAAAUGCCUUAUUAUAUUCCUACUUUUGACAUAGAGGAUGUCAAAGAUAUGUGGUUCCGGUCAAAACUGCAGAAGCCCAGGUUUUCUACAAACUCAGUAUGUGGGAAUGCUAUUCCAGCACUUAUAGAUCUCAACUAUGACUUAACGUGAUCCAUGACAGAGGAUUGUAGUUAGCAUAUAUUAACAUAUUAUAAAGUCUCGAGUACAAGUACUUCUGGUGAAUCUAAUCUAAUUUUGUAAACUAUGAAUUACAAUCUAUGCUUCACAUUUCAUCUUGAGUAUCUCUUUGCCAUUUUUUUGUGCCAAUGCUUUUUCUUUUUCUUUGAGCAGAGCCAACAGCAGAAAUGUUACAAAAAUUAAUGGUAUAUUUAGAUAACUUCUUAAUUGAAACAAAAUGUGCUCACUACUGAUGCUUUGACUAGGAGUUUAUAUUCAAUCUUCAAGAGUAUAGAGUGGUUUGUUAUAUUCAAUUCUUUAAAGUGGCGCAUAGUGAGUGCUCCAUCGCUGUGUAAGAGUAGAGAGUAAUAUUAUAUUACAUGAAGAUGUAAAACAAGUCACAUUUACCCAUUGUUUAUUGUUGAUUUUUCUUCUAAUUGUUUGGCGAUUUUCUUCACAAUGUGGACUGGGUUAAGUGCUUGAAACUGCUUUGCCUUGCAGGUAAGAGAUUGUCAUAAUCUAAACACUUUGUAUGUCCGCGUAAUUGCUGGUGAACACACCCAAUUUUCUCUAAAUUUUGCUAACAAGCGAAAUUUCAGUCUGUUUUAUAUAGGUGAUUCUCUUAAUUUUUUUUGUUAGCAUGAUUUCUUUAUUUUGCAGCUUCCUAUGACUACCUAAAUAGAAGGUGCAUUUGCUAUAGGAGAACCCACUCGAAUUCUGGUUUGCUUCCUGUGACUACCUACUUACUCUGGACUUGUUUGUUUCUAACUUGCUAUCUCUAUUGUUUAGGAGCUUUUAUGAGUUUGUUGUAAUUACCUAUCUUUUUUUGAGGCAUUACUUAUGGAUUUCUAGGUGCGUUCUUAUAGGUGUUUUCAACCUUUUAUGAGUUUGUUGUAAUUGCCUAUCUUUUUUUGAGGCAUUAAUUAUGGUUUACUAUGCAUCUCCCCUUUUUGACUACGGGUGUUAACUUAGUGACACGUUUAUACAUUUUGUUAGUACCGCAACUGCAUAUUUAGAGAAGCUUCUCUAUGUACUAGGUGACUCCCAUAUUUCUAUGUGAUAUUUAUGUAAUAUUGGUAAAUUUAUGUUUUUCUUUUCUUUUGCUGUAAAGUCAUUGAAUAAUCUCUAUAGCAGUUCUACCCAGUCAUUUGAUAAUUUGUCCGAAAUCCCACAUAAUAAAAGGCAACGUCUUAGGUAAUUCAUAGCAUAGAUUGAUUUCUUAUUAAUUGUACCAAUUUCCUACCCAAAUAUUUAACAAAAUUACAUUUGAAUUUAUUUGAUUUUAUUUGCAGUUUUGGUGAGACCGGGGGAUCAAACAAAGACGAGAAGUGGAGAAUUAGUUUGAUAUGUGUAAUAGAUGUUUUUGGAUAUAUGAUAUGUGUCAAACUUUAAUAUGUAAUAACUAAGGUACUUUUCUAAUAUAUGAUAUAAGUCAAAUUUAGACAUUUUGGGUAUGUACUAUCUAGGGAACUAAUCUAAUGUAGGAUGCAAAUCAAAAUUUUAAAAAUAUUUGAUGUUAAAUGCUUAAUUCAGGAAGCAAAUUUUAACUAUUGAAAAAAAGAAUAACCGCCGCGAAGCACGGGCCCUAAACUAGUACAUCAUAAACUAAGGGAUAUAUGAGUAGCGGCAGCGAUCAUGUGCUGUCAAAGGAGAUACUAGAAUAUAAAUAAAGUUAAACUCACGAAAGCGCCGAGCUCGGGGGCAGGAGGAGGAGGCGCCGAGCUCAAAGGAGAGGACGAUACGCGGAGGGGCGAUCUUUCGGCGGUGGAUGUCGCGAAAGAGGCGCUGCUCGCCUCGUUCGAAGCAGUCGUUGGCGAAUUCCCACCGAUCCAGCACGAUCUACCUAAAUCCCUGUCAAAAAAUCACAACUAGAUCCUAAUUAGAGGCCAAGGUCUCCGAAAUCGAUCGAUCGACGAAGCUGGAGAAGUUGUUGUGCUUGAAAUACUUGGGAGUGGAGGUCGCGGGCGAACUCGACGAGGCGCCACACGAUGCAGGCGGCGAGGCGAGGAGAGACGACUUGUCAACGGCGUGGUUUUCCACGAGCGGCUGCGGCGGCGGCGGCGGAGAGAGACGAGUGGGAGCGGCGGAGCUGUGAUGUUGAGGGAGGCUGUGCCGUUGGGAGCACGUACGGUUUGGAACUUGGAAGGGUUAAGAAGGGCAUACAGAGAAAAUAAAAUUAUGAAAUCCUGCAUAUUAAAUUUUGAUCUACAUGCCAACAUCUAUCCAAUAUCAUUAAAGGGUGAACCCUUAACCCCUUUGCUGCGUUCUCCGUAUUUUCAGGUCUCUCCCGUAACCCUUUUCCUGCGUUCCUCGUGAUUUCGGACCUCCUGCUCAACUUGAUUGGAGGCCUCCCCGCAAUCUCGGUUAAGUGGGCCCCUUUAGAAUAGUUUUAUAGACCGGGUCUUUUUAUACACCGGGUUUUUCUGUCCUUUUUUUUAUACACUUGGUUUAUACCAUUCAACCUCUUCCUCUCUCUACCCUCUCUCUUCCCCAAAACCUGCCGACUCCCAUUGCUGCUGCCGUUAUUUUCGUCCUUUGCACAGUACAAAGGACAAAAAUAGCGGCGGAAAGGACUCUUGCGCCGUUCCCAAAUCCCGAGCUUCCGAAUCCUACCCCUCCCAUUCGAAACCCUAGCUCCUUCGAUCAGGGAGAAGGGUUGGUGGCCAUGGCGCUCUACCUCCUCUUUGAGUCAGCACCGACGAGAUCGGCGAAGGGUUGGUGGCCAUGGCGUAAGGCCUCGACGAGAUCGGCCAAAACACCUAAGCCAUGCGCACUUCGUCCUCGACUUCACGCACUUCGGCAAGUCAUCAAAUUCGUCGGCUUCUACGGAAUCGCUUUUUUGUAGACAUCUCCUCCUCCUACCAAAUUAAGUUCGCAGCACUGCAGAAGUCGGCGCCGAGAUCUGCAUGAGGGGGCUGUUGUCAGUGUUGUGUCUGAGGCGGAGGACGCCGACUUCUUCUUCUUCUCCUUCUUCUUCUUCGGGACAUCAUCGCUCCGUACCCAUCUCUUUCCCUCUCCCCAUUUUUCCCCUUCUCUACGCAUUCGAAACUCUUAAUUAAUUAUUAAUCAUUAUUAUUAUUAUUAAUUUUUUCUAUAUUUUUGGGAUUUUAGGAGAAGGGCGAAGCCGCAGCGAACGGUGGUGGUGGUGGUACUACGAACCAAGGCAAUAUAUAUAUAUAUAUAUAUAUAUAUAUAUAUAUAUAUAUAUAUAUAUAUAUAUAUAUANAGGGAGAUAUAUAUAUAUAUAUAUAUAUAUAUAUAUAUAUAUAUAUAUAUAUAUAUAUAUAUAUAUAUAUUGCCUGCUGUUGUUGGAAUUAUUUAUUUAUUUAUUUAUUUUUCUGAGGUUAUUGGGUUUCAAUUAGGAGUUUCGUUAGUUAUAAUGAAUUCUAAAUUCCUAAUUUUCUUCUCUUAUCUUUCAGAGUUAGCCUGAAUGCUCCCUUAUUCUCACUACAGAAUCAGAUUUCUCUUCUCAAUCAAGCCAAGGUAAUAUUGGCCCUCAAUUGUUCGAAGAAAUGCCAAAACAAGUUUUUUAAAAUAUUUUUUAAGAUUUUUCUUUAAUACUCUCUUAUACUCUCUCCUUUUUUUUAUGGACUAUCUCACUCUAGCAGGAUUACCUCUCUGAUAUGAAAAUUUUUCAAGCCUUGGGCUUGCCUAAGAUGAAACAACUAAUUAGCUCUUUGAAUAGUAAUUACUUUUUUUGUUAGUGCCCUCUGAACUACCUGUAAGGUAAGAAUAUUGGCUUCUGAACUACUUGAAACAUCUAAAAUGUUGAUAUAGCAUUUGUACUGCAGUGGCUUCUUUGGUAUUUGCAGUUUGGUGGUAAGUAGGUGAUAUUGUAAAUUAUUUACAGAUAAUCGUGGUAAGCUAAUUGAUGUUUUCUUAGAACAUCUUGACUUGCAUUUUUAGCAACCAUUACUGAAAUGUGUUUAUCAUUGGCAUGUAUUUGUAUUGCAUAUAUUCAAUAUUGCUGAGAAGAAAGAUUCAUCGGAAGUUGUUGUAAUUCUAGCAAAGUUUUACUUUGAACAUAUAGAUUGUGCGCAUGAAAUAUGACUAAUGAGAUUAAAAAUCUUGCCUCAACAGAUAUCCGCCGGAAAUCGAUAUCGCUGAGGAAUUGAAGUCAAAAACAAGUUUAAUGCUAUUGACUUUCGCCACACCAUUUUUCCCUUACCAUUUGCUGUGAUUUACUGUACUAAUUGGUUUAUAAUAAUUGUAGGGAAAGUUGAAAUAACCUCUGCCCAAGGUAUGCGUUUGGUCGUCUACACUGUACUAAGUUCUAAUAUUUAUUAGUGUAGUUUUUUGCUUUUUUUCCUUUGGGUUUGUGGGUUGGAUUUGAAUGUGUGGUGUAAUAGUGGGCUCCUGCAUUUGGUUGCACUACACUUACAUUUGAGCGAUUUGACCUCCUUCAGUCAAUGCUUUUAACUUUAUCAAAUAAUAUGAUUAAUUUCAAAUUUAAGACAAACGUACUUCAUACAACCAUUGAGUUUUCUUUGUAAAUUUGAUCAGUUAAAUAAUUUUACCCCACUGAGUUUUAUGCAGGUGUACCAACAGGAUGGCCAUGAAAUAGAAAAACAUAUAGGUUUAACUCUUCCCAAACAUACUGAGAGUGACAUAUUUGGAGAAGCAUCUCUACCAAUGAUUACUCACUCCAGGUGUAGUUACCUUUUCCCUCUACAUGCUUUUGCAUAACAGUAAUGCUAUACUUCGGUUGCUAAUAUGCUGGAAUGGUUUUUAUCAGGAUUUCUAAAGAUUAGACAGGACUAUCUCCAAGUGUGGAGGAACCAAGUAAAAAAUGACUUGGGUGAUUUCCCUACGAUUACCUCACUCCAAAUGAGACUCUUUACCAUCAAAUCUAAUUUUCUUCUUUUUUCAACUCUUAACUUCGCAGGCUCACAGAAGAUGAUGGACAACCAGCAGCAACAAAUAAUUAGGCUACUCUACAUAUUAAUCAUGCAUUUUUUUGGAAUUUCAACUCGAAUUGAUGCGAUUGCCAUAUGGACAAUUGAUAUCUGUAUUAAUCAUGCAUGUUUUUUGAAUUUGGUGGUAAAAUAAUGACACUAUUUUGUUAAGACUUACAACUUUAAAAAAUAUCUAAUGUAUGUAAGAAUUUUUAUUUCAGCGAAUAUUUUUUUUUAUUACUAAUUAUUAAUGUAUAUUUACUUUAAAUCUAUCGAUCCGCCGCGAAGCGCGGGUCUUUAACUAGUUUCAUAAAUAAAUGGGCCUCUUUAUAUCCGAGUUGGAUUUUAUAGUUGAGUUGGGAUAAAUAUUAAAUAACAAAAUUUAUAUUUUAUAUAUAUAUAAUUAUAUAUAGAAAUAUAAUAUAUUUAAACUAUCUAAAUAUUAAACAUAUGUAUUUGAGCUUUUAUUGAGCCAAACACAAGCGAGCUGACCACAGCUCUUGUUCGGUUCGGUUAUUAAACAAAUUAAAAAAUUAUACUCAUGUUUGGCUCGUUUACUAAACGAGUGUUUCGAUCUUGAAAUCAUUUGGAGUUGAAUACAAUUCAACUCAUAAACAGCGAGCUAGAUAGUGUCGGGCCAAGUAUGUAGUUUAUGCACUAUAUAUCUUACACUAUUUAAUUUGACAAUACUUGAGGACACGUGUCAUGAGCACGUUAGCCCGUUCCACGUGUCGAGUUGUGGGUGUUAUGGUCGCCCUCUUUCUCUCAUUUUUCUCCUCACUCUCUCUCCCACCUCCUACAGCUGUCCUCUCUCUCAACCCUAUUCCUCUCUCUCUCUCACUACAGCUGUCACUCUCUCUCACUUGUUAGAACAAAUACCGCACAGAAAUCUGAUUGUGAUUUAAAUCUAACUAAAUCUUAUUAUGAAAAUAAAUAAAUCAACUUACAGAUGAUCAAUAAAUCCAAAUAAAUACUUAAUUGAUCCGGAAGCGUGCGAGGCACUGCCCUAAGGCGUAUUCUCGUCCGUACGUGCGGGAUUAACCGGAAACACCGCCCCAAGGUACGACCGGAAUUCCUCCUCCUGCGAGCACGAUCGUGAAGAAGGUUGACGGAGACUCUUUCAACACCCGAUAACAAAGAGAUUGAUCAAAAUAGAAUCUAAAAUAACAUUUAAAUCAUUCUUUGCAAUGUUCAUGUAUAUCAAUGAACAGCAUGCAAAGCUAUAUAUAUAUAGAGGGGUUAUAUGGUGUAACAUUGGAAUCAACCCCAACGUACAAACCUUAUUAUGCACCCUUAAUUCAUGCUUUAAUGUGAAAUAAAGGAGGAAUAAAUUAAAUUUAAUACAUCCAAUUAAUUAACAUAAUAAAAGACAAUAAAUGUAAAUAAUUAUAAAAUUAAAUGAUAUUUAGAGAUUUUGGAUUUUUUCACCAACAUCACUAACAUCACUAACUCCCUCUCUCUCUCUCUCUCUCACGAUUCCUCUCUACCCCCCCUCUCUCUCUCUCUCUCUCUCUCUCUCUCUCUCUCUCAACCCUUUCUCUUACUAACUCCAUCUCUCUCCAAAUGGCUCCCUUACUCUCUUUUUAUUAUGCUCCUUCCCUGUUCUCUCUCUCUCUCUCUCUCUCUCCUCAAAAUCCCUCAUUUGCAAAGAAUCAGGUUAAGGUGGUUAGGGUUUCGGUGUACCAAUACCCGAUAUUCGAGGCUGGGUUGAGGGUGUGCAUGGGGAAGGAGAUGGCGAUGGCGCAGAUGAAGUACGUCGCGGCGGCAGUGCUCGGGAGGUUCGAGCUGCGGCGGGCCGAUGAGGCAGAGAAGGAAGAGGCCCGAGGACGCCCCGCGGUGGUGGUGCUGCGGCUCACGGUGCACAUGGAGGGGGGGCUGAGGAUGAUGGUCGUGGAGAGGAGGACGAGGAGAUGAGAGGAUAUGUAAUUAAGCUUUUGAUUUAGGUGGUUAAUUAAUUAUGAAUAAUGAUAAAUUAAUUGUGUGGUUAAUUAAUGAGUUAAUGUCGUUUGGUUUAUUUAAUUUUCAAUCAUAUAUAGUAGCAGUAUUAUAAUGCAUCAUUUAUAGUAAUUGUAUACAAGUUCUUUGGUAUCUCAAAAAUAUUAGGCGGCGACAGAGGCAAUCACGGCAACGACGAUGGCGACGAUUUGGGCAGUCACAGUGACUACGAAGUCUUAGGCGGCGAUGAUGACUAUAGCAGCGGCGGCAACAAUGGCGGUCACGGCUUGGGCAGCGGACACGGGGAUGACGGCAGCGACCACAGUGGAUGUUACAAGAACUAAGAGAGGAGUCAGAUAACUUUGAUUCAAAAAUUUUUGGUAUUCAAGGUGUUUGAUCAAAUUUUUUUUACUUACUAAUCUUUGAAUUUUUUAUUUUUUAAAUAAAAUUUUGACAUUAAAAUUAAAUUUUUUUUCCUUAAAAUUUUUUUUUGUAUGAAUUUGCAUAAUUUUUAAAAAUUUUGAUUUUAGAAAAAUAAUUAGCAAAAUUAUAUCUGAUUUAGGUGCCUAUUAACAUUUAACAAUUUUUUAUAUAUAUUUUUUCAAUUUUUCUAGUUUUUCAAUAUUAAAUUUGAUUUUUACAUAAUUUUUUUACUAUAUUUUGUGAUUGUGAUUUCUACAUAAUUUUUUAGGUGAAUAUCUAAGCUAUCUUGCACUCCAAAGCAAGUAUCUUAAAAUACUAUUUUUAAAAAGUUCAUUAUUUUUUCAUAUUAUUAUUAUUAUUUCUAUUUAAUUAUUUGAUCAAAAAUAUUGUAUUUAUAUUAGAAUAAAUAAUAUAAUUUUAUAUUUGAAUAUAAAAUUUUUUUUUUCAUGUUUGUCUACAGUGAAGCGCGGUUGCUUCACUAGUAUGAAUAGUUUCAGUAUACUAUCAAAGAUUGCAUACAAAGAGGGUAAUCAGACCGCUCUCACCAUCGGCGCACACUUUAGCUCGCCGCUUCUUCUCGGAAGGGGGAAGGGAUGAUUGAGAGAGGUGAUCAAGAGAGAGAGAGAGAGAGAGAGAGAGUCUCUAAGAGUGGGAGGAGUGAUCGAGAGAGGUGAGAAGAUGAAAGAUUAGGAGUUUUUUAAAGAAAAAUAGCCUUUUAGUGCUUUCUCUUGUUCUUCGGGUCAAAUCCACAAGCAUAGAUCGACCUAUGAUCCAGCCUGCUCAUAAUAUGGACCUUCACAAAUAGGUAAAGUUGUAGUAUGAAAUACUGAUUAGCACUUUGAGAGUGCUAGACCGAGUUGGAUCUGUUUUCGCACAAAAUAGUUGUGAAAACAGACUCUGAAAGUGAACUGAGUUAAAACUUGAGUUUCAUAGUAGCUCCAAAUGCCCAGAAGGUGUUGGGUGUAAUAUACCAAACUUUUACAAUUAUAAAGUUUUGGUAGGAACUAACUUAAAAAUCUAAUAAAAUAGUUCCGACGAAGUUUGGGGAGUAUUCGAGUAUUUUCGGCACAAAUCGAGUGCAAAAACGGACUCCAAAUAUUAAAUCUGUCAAAACUGCAGAUUUUAUAUUAAGUACUGAUACUGAAAUCUGGAUACUGGUACGUAAUACCAAAUGAGAGAGAUCAGUUCUCGGGUUUUGAGGAAUCAAACCUGAGUACCGGUACGCGAACCCAAGUACCGGUAUCCAGUACUCCAAAACUCAGUUUCGAGGGAUGUUUCGGUACUUUCAGGUGAGAGCUUUUAUAAAAGGGAGCCAUCUCCCCUUUCCUCUGUUACCCCACACACGCACACACACAAGAAAGAAAGAGAGAGAGAAGCUCCUCUCUCUCACUCUCUUCUUCAUCUUCUUCUUCUCCAACCCUUGGAGCUUGGGGGAUCAAACUAGGAAGGAGGAUUUGGAGCUAGAGGGCUACCUUCUCGAGAAAGAAGAAGCAAAAAGCUUUGGGGCAAAGGUUAGUUUUGGGAUUUAAAACUAGGGUUUUGAAUUUAAACCUUGUAAAAUAGAUUUUUAUCAAACCCUAGGCUAAUUUAGGCUACAAGUUGUAGAUAUUAGCACAUGAAAUUGAGUUUUGCCAUGAAUUUUGGAUAACCUAGGUUGAAAAAGGGAUUUUUUUUAUGAAAGAUUUUAAAAAUAUUUUAACCCUUUAAAACCCUAAUUGAGGGUUAGGAAAUCAAGUCGGGCAACUUGAUUUCAAGAGAAAAAAAAUUAUUUUGGAGUUUGAAAUUGAUAAAGAGUGGAUCGCUUAUAUAAACAAGGAAAGCUUAGGAGCAAGCUUGAAGAUCCAAGAAAUUGGCCCAAUGCAAGUGUCUGCAAGCAAUUGGGGGCACUAUAAGGUGGGUUGUCCUUCAUCGAAGUGAUUAGGUCACUUCCACGCCCAAUAGUAAAGUUUAAUAUUUGUAUUACCUGUUGAUACAUGUAUGUAAUGAUAGGUUAGUUGAAAAAUAUAGAUGUAUGAAUCAUAUGUUACUAGAUCAAAUUAACUACCAUUAGAUGAUGACAUUAGGCAUGUGAAAACAUAUAGGUAUGUAUAUAUAUGUAUGCUUAGACAUGAAUGAAUGAUAUAGAUUGAAUUUCACUAGAGACAUUAGCAAACUCAACAAGGACAAAAUGUCAUGAAAAUUGUGAAUCUUAGGUAUGGACAACUAGGAUAAGAAAGAAGAUGAUUCAGCAUUGAACUUAGUGCAUUGAACAUAGGUUAGAAAAUAUAGUGGUAGGAAGACCACUUGGAUUGGAAUGUCAAUGAACCUAGUGUCAUUGAACAUAGGUUGGAAAAUAUAGUAGUAGGCUGAUCACUUGGACAUGAGAAUAUAAACCUAGAGAGGUUGACAAUAUAGGGUAAAAGAUGAACCCAUGAGACUUGAAAAAUGGAUUCCGGAAUCCCUAGGCUGGUACUUGCGGGUAUGUGGUUCUUCUCGCCCGGCAAGUGAUGUGUGGCUGCGGGUAUGUUGGUUCUCCUCGCCCGGCAGCGUUUCAUGCUCGCGACUUCACUGUUGCCUCUUUUGGACCUAGUAGGUGAGUUCUUCCCUUGUGUGGCCAUACCCAUCGGGAAGCUUACAUAGUCAUAUAUUUAUAUGUUGGACUAACUUGCUUAUAUUGCCUCCUUUGGACCUAGUGGGUGAGUUCUUCCCUUGGGUGGCCAUACCCAUCGAGAACUAUAUUUAUAGUUGUAAUAUCCCGAACUCUUUUUGAGUAGUGAAAAGUGUAGUGUACCGGACUCCUACAAUGAUGAAGUUUCGGUGGGAACUAGCUUUAAAGCUAUUAAAUAAGUUCCAGCAAAGUUUGGGGAGCAUUCGAGUGUUUUUGGCGCAAACCAGACGCGAAAACGGGCUCCAAAAGCUAAAAUCUGCCUAAGUUGCAGAAUUUGUGCUGAAUACCGGUACUAGAAUCGGGUACCGGUACUAGACUAGCCGGGUACCAGUACUAGAAUCGGGUACCAGUACACAGUGGUAAAAUGAGGAAAACAUGCUUUCGGGUUUGGAGGUAUUGGAGUCGGGUACCAGUACGUGAGCCCGAGUACUAAUACUCAGCCUCCCAGAAUUCUAUUUUUGCGGGGUAAAAGUGUAAAUUCACUGGGGGCUUAUAUAUAGGGGUGCCCAUCCCUUCCCCUCAGCUGAACACACACACACGCACACUGUGGGAGGGAGAGAGAAGCUCAUCUCCCUCACCCUCCUUUUCCUCCUCUCCGACUCCGCGAUCUUGGUGGAGAUCGGACUCAGAAAGCUUGGAGGAGUGGUGGUUCGAGCUCUCGAGCGCUUGAUGGCUUAGAACGCUUCCGACUCGAGGUUCGUUUUUAGGGUUUGAGCAAGGGUUUUGGGUUUAAACCUCCUAAAUGGAUUUCUAGCAAACCCUAGGCUAGCUAAUCUAAGUGUCACGCCCUGCCCCGAAACCACUACCCAUUUGGCACGGUUCGGCCGCGGCGGCAGGCCGCCGAACGGACAGCACCUCCCCUGUCCGCCCAAGGCUCAACAACAGGAAUGUGCACAAGAAUUUACCCAGGAAAUUAAAUUCUAAACAUACACAUUCACGAGGGCACAACCAGUGCCAACAAUACAAAGAGCAAGUGAUCCACAAGAUACACGUGUGAAAUAAAGAGAGUACUUUACUAACUAUUACAAUAGUUUCAUCAUUCCCAUUUACAUCAUUUUCUCUAAAUGAAUACAUUUUCCAACUCAAAAUACAUGGCUCUCCCAAAUCCUUACCUACAAUGAAUCUCUCUCAAUACAUAGGUGACUAAUGCAAAAAGAAAAGCUACUAAACUACCACAGUCUCACUGGUCGAGCGCGAUGCCCUUGCCGCGGUCCUCCCUCGGCAACCCUGUACCUACCACUGCAAAUAUAGUGGGAUGAGAACUAUCUUCCAUAGUUCCCAGUGGGCUCGGCCACCGACUUUGACGAUCUCCCCACUAGGUCCAAGUGGGCACAAGUAACAACAGAUAGAUAGAUAGAUAUGUAUCCGAAAACUGUAAAUGCAAUAGUAGGAAAACUAUGCUAGUAUGCCCAUAAUCAUGAAUAUGAAUGCAUGCAUCAUAUAAUAAAGGCUUUCUACCAUGCUAACAAAUUCGAUCCAUGUUCGAAUAGCAAUGUUCAAUGACAUUAUUAAACCUUUACCUUUUUCCAUUUACCCAAUCUGUGGCGAGGCCCUAGGGCUCGCCUAUAACUCACCUUUUAAUCCCAAAGUAGGGAGGGAGCUCCAAGUGCACCCAAGCACGGGACCGUCUGCGGACCUCCAUGUGGUCCGGACCACCAAGUGGUCCUAGUCGCGCGACAUUCCGGAGUACUCGACAACAAUCCCCUCCAUGUGGGGAUUGAAUGGCUAUACCAUCCCAAACGCAGACUGUGAGCUAGAUCUAUCCUCUCCAAGUGAGAAUACACUAUCACUAGGGUCAACUACCCAAUCCAAUCCUCUCCAAAUGAGGAUGCUCUACAACUAGAGUCAACAAUUCUCGCGGGAUCAUUUGUUCCCGACAUUCAUGCAAUGCUAUUUAGCUUUUUUAAAUUCAUUGUCCACAAGGCAUUUUCUAAGGGAUCCGCCUAUCCCUAGGUCCAUCGACCUCUAGUGUCAUUUACACUACAUUAAUGCCACUCAUCAUCAUUCAAUGUUUGGAUGCCACUCGUUUGUUCUUUAACAACAACACUACUUUCUAUGUCAUCAACACCCCCAUCGGGCACAUCUCUAUCUUUCGCAUCACAGGAUCCACGUUCCGACCCAAUCCUCACCUAUCUAAGCCACCAAGCGUUCUAAGUACACUAGGUUAUCAUUUAGAAAGCAUAAGGAAUGGAGCUACUCUGCAAUCCUACAAUGCAACAUGAAGAGAUGAGAUUAAAUGCAAGCUAAGACAUAGAAAGGAGUCCGAAAGCUUCGGGAUGGCACACCCCACCUUUUACCGAUGUAGAGGCUUCGGAAACGCUCCUCGGUGAACUUUACGAAAAGGCUUUAGCCUUCCUUGCCCAAAUCCAAACUAUCCGGGCCUUAUUUUGCCGAGAACUCCACGCCGGCUCGCCGAAUGCUAAAACCGACCUCGCCCCUACGUUUUGUGACCUACCAAUAGGGUUUCCAAGGCUUCAAAUAAGUUCAAUCUCAUACUUUCACAAAAACCCCAUUUUGGAGCCCUAGGUUUGCACCUAUAGCAAACUACCAAUAAAUCCCUAGGUUUCUUGGGAUUGAUCUAUUUAGAAGCAAGCUUAGGGUCCAUUUGACCCAUUCCAAAGCAUCAAAACCCAAAAACCCCAAGUUCUAAAAGCUACGGUUUAUAGCUUACCUCUUGAGCUACCUCAAUAGAGAGGAGAGAAAGAAAGGAAGAUGGUCCAAGCCUUCUCUAUCUUGUUCUCCUCCUUCUUCUUCUUCUCUUCCUUCUUCUUCUUCUUCUUCUCUUUCUUUUUUUCCUUCUCUUUUGUUCUUUCUUUCCUAGAGAGAGAGAGGGAGCAAGAGAGAGUGUGAGAAAGAGAGAGAAUGAGAGGGUGUGAGGGAGAGAGAGAGCCCAGCCGACUCUAAUAAAGGCCAUUUUGCAUUUAGACCCCUCAACUUUUCCUCCACUGCACAGCCCUCACUGGGCAGUUUUCGUCCAGAGGGACCGGUCCCUGGUCGGGAAGACCAGUCCCCGAGAGCUCUCCCUGCAGUCUGGGGACUUUUCGCGUUCGGGACUGGUCCUUACACGAGGGACCGGUCCCUGGGAGACUGGUCUCUCCUGAGAGACCGGUUCCCGAACGAGGAACCUUCAGGACUUAGCCAAAUUUAGGCUUCCUCUCGCGGGUGUCAUGCACGGGGACUGGUCCCCUCAACCAGGGACCGGUCGCAUCGACCUCCCUCGCGACCCUCAACUACGGGGACCGGUCCUUCCCUCCAGGGACCGGUCCCCGAGAGCAUUUUGGACAUUUCCAACUCCCACAAAGGGUAUUCUCUCGACAAUUAGUCGAUCCUGGAUGAAGUGCAAAUCCUCGGAUUUCGAGAAUUCACUUCCUUACAUCCUCCCAUCCUUAAAAGGAGUUUCGUCCUCGAAACGAACCCAUUCUUUAUUUUUAAUUCAAAUCCGUACCUUACUCCUCAAAUAGAUGAGGAUGGUGUUUUCUCAUCAAAUCCUCAAAUUCCCAGGUGGCUUCGCGAUCCUCGUGAUUGCUCCACCUGACCUUUACAUAGGGAAUUCUCGAUUCCUCAACUUUCGCACCUCUCGGGCGAUAGUCCCUAUCGAAAACUCUUCAUAGCUCAAGUCUCCUUUAAGUUCCAGCGGUUCAUAUAGCAUUGCAUGCUCGGAGUCGUGAAUAUACUUGCGGAGAUUGGAGACAUGGAAUACAUUGUGUACAUCCGCAAGCUUCGGCGGUAAAGCAAGUCGGUAGGCCACCGUGCCGACUCGCUCCAAUAUCUCAUAUGGUCCAAUGUAUUGGGGACUUAGUUUUCCCCGCACUUCAAACCGCUUCACACCCCGCAUCGGCGAAACUUUCAAGAAUACGCGGUCGCCUACCACGAAUUCUAUGUCUCGACGGCGCCUAUCUGCAUAGCUUUGCUGUCUCGACUGCGCUGUGAACAAUCUCUUGCGAGCAAGACGGACUUUUUCUUCCGCUUCUCGCAGAACAUUGGGGCCAAACUCAGUACGCUCACCCACCUCACUCCAGUGUAUAGGAGACCGACACGUCCGCCCAUAAAGAGCCUCGAACGGUGCCAUCUCCACACUAGCAUGAUAACUGUUGUUGUUGGCGAACUCGGCCAUAGGUAGGUGGUCACACCAACUUCCCUUAUAGUCGAUGACACAUGCUCGCAACAUAUCCUCCAGAGUUUGAAUAGUUCUCUCUGUUUGCCUAUCGGUCUGAGAAUGAAAUGCGGUGCUAAAGUCGAGCCGUAUGCCAAGGGCUCCCUGCAGGCUUUUCCAGAAGUGUGAAGUGAACCGGGGGUCACGAUUCGACACGAUCGAUUUCGGCACCCCAUGCAGUCUCACUAUCUCGUCAAGGUAUACAUGCGCUAACUUGUCACCCGACCACGUGGUGUGGAUCGGCAAGAAGUGAGCCGACUUCGUCAAUCGGUCCACAAUUACCCAAAUUGCAUCGUGGCCGCCUGUUGAGCGAGGUAAGCCGACCACGAAGUCCAUUGAUAUGUCAUACCAUUUCCAAACGGGGAUUGGUAGGCUUCGAAGCUUUCCCGCUGGAAAUCGACGCUCGGCUUUCACUUGUUGGCAUGUCAGGCACUUUGCCACAAAACGUCCAAUAUCUCCCUUCAUUCUCGGCCACCAAUAAUGCAUUUUUAGUCCAUGAUACAUCUUGGUGCCGCCCGGGUGAUCGGCAUAUGGAGAUCGGUGUGCUUCCUGUAGAAUCAAUUCACGAAGCUCUCCAUGUUUCGGCACACACCAUCAGUUUCGAAACUGAAGCGUACCAUCGGCGUCUGCCUUGAAAUCGCCGCCAUGCCUUUCCUCGAUGUUUCGUCGCACCUUUUGGAGUUCUGAAUCUGCGGGUUGCAGAUCUUUGAUCCUCUCCAACAAGGUCGGUUCGACAACGAGUGCCAUUAGCUGAGUCAGGACCUCGGGAGCAACCACUUCAAGGUCCAAUCGCUCCAUAUCCAGCCACAAGAGUGUUUGCUGGGUAACAUCGAAUGCGAGGUUCUUCGCCGACUUCCUACUAAGUGCGUCUGCGACCACAUUUGCCUUCCCGGGGUGGUAGAGGAUAUCAACAUCAUAAUCCUUUAACAACUCCAACCACCACCGCUGAUGCAUGUUGAGCUCCUUCUGUGUGAACAAAUACUUCAAGCUCUUGUGGUCGGUAUAGAUCUCACAAUGGGCACCGUAUAAGUAGUGCCUCCACAGCUUCAAGGCGAAAAUCACCGCCGCUAGCUCCAAAUCAUGGAUGGGGUAGUUCCUUUCAUAGCUCUUCAAUUGACGGGAUGCGUAGGCGAUCACCUUCCCGUUUUGCAUCAAUACACACCCCAAUCCAAGAUAGGAGGCGUCACUGUAGACUACAAAGUCUUCGCCCUGCACCGGUAGAGCGAGCACCGGAGUCGAAGUCAAUCUUUGCUUCAACUCUUUGAAACUCCGGUCACAUUCUUCGCUCCAAACGAACUUGGUGCCCUUCUGAGUCAGGCGGGUAAGUGGAAUCACUAUUUUGGAAAAGCCUUCCACAAAACGCCUAUAGUAGCCCGCUAAGCCCACGAAGCUUCGAACCUCCGUGACAUUCGUCGGGCGCGGCCAAUCUUUGAUUGCCUCAACUUUCCUCGGGUCUACAGAAACUCCACCCGCGAAAAUCACAUGCCCUAAGAAGGCGACCUCGCGGAGCCAGAAGUCACACUUCUUCAAUUUGGCAUAUAGCUUCUCCUCCCGAAGGACUUGAAGCACUAUCCUCAAAUGCUCGGCAUGUUCUUCGUCGCUACGAGAAUAGACCAAUAUGUCGUCUAUGAAGACCAUGACAAAUCGAUCCAAAUACUUCUUGAAGACACGGUUCAUCAAAUCCAUAAAUGCCGCUGGAGCAUUCGUGAGUCCAAAUAGCAUGACCGUGAAUUCGUAGUGUCCAUACCGCGUACGAAACGCAGUUUUCUGCACAUCCUCCGGCUUGAUCUUCAAUUGGUGGUAGCCGGAUUGCAGAUCUAUCUUCGAGUACACACACGACCCUUGCAACUGAUCGAACAAGUCAUCGAUCCGGGGUAGUGGGUACUUAUUUUUUUAUCAUGACUCUGUUCAAUUCUCGAUAGUCCACGCAGAGUCGAAACGAUCUGUCCUUCUUCCGUACAAACAACACCGGGGCUCCCCACGGUGAUACACUCGGCCAGAUAAAUUGCUUGUUGAGGAGGUCUUGCAAUUGACUCCUCAACUCCCUCAAUUCCGCCGGCGCCAUUCGGUACGGGGCCUUCGAGAUCGGUGCGGUACCGGAACCAAGUCUAUGACGAACUCGAUCUCCCGAUCCGGUGGUAUCCCCGGCAACUCCGUGGGAAAUACAUCCGAGAACUCCCGCACUACCGAUAGCUCCUCUAACGUUGGAGCUACACGUUCCACCUCCACAACAGUCGCUAAGAAUGCCGUGCAACCGCUGUUAACUAAUUUCCUUGCUUUCGUCGCCGACAGCGUCGCAACGAAGCACGAGCUUUGACAAGCCCGAUAUGUGAACUCCUCCUGUCCUGGUUCACGAAAAGUGAUCACCCUGCUCUUGCAGUUGAUCGUCGCGUGAUACUUCGAGAGCCAGUCCAUGCCCAGAAUGAUAUCAAAAGCCUCAAGCUUCUGGAGUUCCAACGUCCGGAUAGGCACAAUCCAGUCGCCUAUUUGUACGGGACAUGACGCACACUCCGAGUAAGUGUUAAACGUCGACCCAGGGCCCUCCACUCGCCACUUGUCACUCGCCUCUAUGAGAAUGUCAUGCAUGCAUGCGAAUGAUCUACUUAUGAAUGAAUGCGCGGCUCCUGUAUCAAAUAAAGCCCUGGAGCGAACUCCAUUAAUCAAAAUCAUACCUGCCACAAGGCGAUGCUCCUCCGCCUCCGCAGGUUCCUCAGCUUGGACCUGAGCGGCGAACACCCGUCCGCUAGGGGCCGAUCGUGCCAUAUCAGGUUGACGCGACGUCAUUGCGCGUCCAGUCGACGCAGCCGUUGGUGGAGCUCCUCCAUAAUGAGCCGGAAUCGCCGGCGCCGAUGCAAUCGAUGGGGCAGGUGAGGCUCCUCCUCCCGGGCAAUCUCGAAUGAAGUGCCCUGGCUGCCCACACUUGUAGCACUUGCCUUGGCCUUGCUCACAGCGCGAGACCGGAUGGUCUCCGCCGCAUAUCAUGCAUCGCCGCACUCCACCGCCCUUCUGUUGAGUGCGCGAAUACUUCGGGGGCUUCUUGUAACGUGUCUGUCCCCCCAAACUACCGCCACCUUGGCGUUUCUUGCCCUUGUCCUUCGACUCGGCCAAAGCCUCACACUUCUCCCGAACGUGGGCAUCUCCGUGCUCUGCCCAUAGGGCUCGAUUGAAGACCUCCGCAAAGGUCGUGAGCUUAAGUAUUUACACGGCCUUGUAGAUCCCCGGCCGAAGCCCUCGCAAGAACCACUUGGCCCGGUCCCGGUCAUCCUUUACAACAUCCGGGACGCAGUUGAUAAUAUGGGAGAAUUCUUGCUCAUACUCUGCCACUGUGUGGUCUCCUUGCUCUAGCUUGCGGAACUUCUCCUUGAGCUUCCGCUUCAACGUAUCGGGGAAAUAGUUGGCGAACAUCUCCCGCUUGAAUUCCUCCCACAACAUUGGCGGAAGGCCAGGAAGCCGAUCCUGUUUGACGCGCUUCCACCAAACCUUCGCCGCCUUUUCCAAGCAAUGGGUGGCGAGAUACACCUUGUCCCUCUCCAAGGUAUGCAAGUCGUCGAAGAGGGUUUCCAUCGAGUCGAUCCAAGACUCGACCAUCUCCGGUUCCACCUUCUCGCCCUCAAAGGUUGGCGGAUGGAACUUGUUUAACUUGAUAAGAGCCGCCAAUGCGCGCUCUCCCUCCACGUCUUCGGCCGACACAUUGAGGGUAGCCGAUCCCGAUGCCGCCUGUGGUGCGAUCGCUGGCGGUGGGCGCGCCGUCACCGGAACCGCCGCUACGCCCUCACCCUCUGCCGCUCUAGGUAUAUUCAUUUACCGUCGCAGCUGACACCGCGAUCUGCCGCUCUAAUAGAUCCUGGAGCCGCUCGAAUCUGGUUUCUUGGCGCUGCACCACACUGGUCAGCACGGUCACUUGCGCUUGCAACCGAUCGAUCAUGCUCGGUUCCUCCUGCUCGGGCACCUCGGGAAUCGGUGCAGGGGCAGUUCUAUGUGUGUAGCGUCUUGGAGACAUCAGUCCCUGAAACGCAAUUACUUGGUCAGUCCUCUUAACCAAUUACCUCGUCGCAAUUACGACACAUGACGACCCAACAACAAAAUCGGGCGGAAGCACACAAGUGUACUCAUUCUAGACUCUUGGUUUCAUGUCGUCGGCCGCCGACACAACCACCUCAAGACAAGAACUCAUACCACUUGAAUCCGUCUCUAAUCACAACUAGAGACACAUUACCAACUUCGACCCAAUCGAAUCAACUUCCGCCAUCGCUAUAGGUUCACGUUCCGCUCACGCACCUAUAACCUUAGGACUUACCAACCUAGGGUCUCCUAGGUUAUCCUAGACUCUCCCUUUACUUACUCUUAUCGCUCUGAUACCACGCUCUGUCACGCCCCGCCCCGAAACCACUACCCAUUUGGCACGGUUCGGCCGCGGCGGCAGGCCGCCGAACGGACAGCACCUCCCCUGUCCGCCCAAGGCUCAACAACAGGAAUGUGCACAAGAAUUUACCCAGGAAAUUAAAUUCUAAACAUACACAUUCACGAGGGCACAACCAGUGCCAACAAUACAAAGAGCAAGCGAUCCACAAGAUACACGUGUGAAAUAAAGAGAGUACUUUACUAACUAUUACAAUAGUUUCAUCAUUCCCAUUUACAUCAUUUUCUUUAAAUCAAUACAUUUUCCAACUCAAAAUACAUGGCUCUCCCAAAUCCUCACCUACAAUGAAUCUCUCUCAAUACAUAGGUGACUAAUGCAAAAAGAAAAGCUACUAAACUACCACAGUCUCACUGGUCGAGCGCGAUGCCCUUGCCGCGGUCCUCCCUCGGCAACCCUGUACCUACCACUGCAAAUAUAGUGGGAUGAGAACUAUCUUCCAUAGUUCCCAGUGGGCUCGGCCACCGACUUUGACGAUCUCCCCACUAGGUCCAAGUGGGCACAAGUAACAACAGAUAGAUAGAUAGAUAUGUAUCCGAAAACUGUAAAUGCAAUAGUAGGAAAACUAUGCUAGUAUGCCCAUAAUCAUGAAUAUGAAUGCAUGCAUCAUAUAAUAAAGGCUUUCUACCAUGCUAACAAAUUCGAUCCAUGUUCGAAUAGCAAUGUUCAAUGACAUUAUUAAACCUUUACCUUUUUCCAUUUACCCAAUCUGUGGCGAGGCCCUAGGGCUCGCCUAUAACUCACCUUUCAAUCCCAAAGUGGGGAGGGAGCUCCAAGUGCACCCAAGCCCGGGACCGUCUGCGGACCUCCAUGUGGUCCGGACCACCAAGUGGUCCUAGUCGCGCGACACUCCGGAGUACUCGACGACAACCCCCUCCAUGUGGGGAUUGGAUGGCUAUACCAUCCCAAACGCAGACUGUGAGCUAGAUCUAUCCUCUCCAAGUGAGGAUACACUAUCACUAGGGUCAACUACCCAAUCCAAUCCUCUCCAAGUGAGGAUGCUCUACAACUAGAGUCAACAAUUCUCGCGGGAUCAUUUAUUCCCGACAUUCAUGCAAUGCUAUUUAGCUUUUCUAAAUUCAUUGUUCACAAGGCAUUUUCUAAGGGAUCCGCCUAUCCCUAGGUCCAUCGACCUCUAGUAUCAUUUACACUACAUUAAUGCCACUCAUCAUCAUUCAAUGUUUGGAUGCCACUCGUUUGUUCUUUAACAACAACACUACUUUCUAUGUCAUCAACACCCCCAUCGGGCACAUUUCUAUCUUUCACAUCACAGGAUCCACGUUCCGACCCAAUCCUCACCUAUCUAAGCCACCAAGCGUUCCAAGUACACUAGGUUAUCAUUUAGAAAGCAUAAGAAUGGAGCUACUAUGCAAUCCUACAAUACAACAUGAAGAGAUGAGAUUAAAUGCAAGAUAAGACAUAGAAAGGAGUCCGAAAGCUUCGGGAUGGCACCCCCCACCUUUUACCGAUGUAGAGGCUUCGGAAACGCUCCUCGAUGAACUUUACGAAAAGAUUUUAGCCUUCCUUGCCCAAAUCCAAACUAUCCCUACCCUAUUUUGCCGAGAACUCCACGCCGGCUCGCCGAAUGCUAAAACCGACCUCGCCCCUACGUUUUGUGACCUACCAAUAGGGUUUCCAAGGCUCCAAAUGAGAUCAAUCUCAUACUUUCACAAAAACCCCAUUUUGGAGCCCUAGGUUUGCACCUAUAGCAAAUCACCAAUAAAUCCCUAGGUUUCUUGGGAUUGAUCUAUUUAGAAGCAAGCUUAGGGUCCAUUUGACCUAUUCCAAAGCAUCAAAACCCAAAAACCCCAAGUUCUACAAGCUAGGGUUUAUAGCUUUCCUCUUGAGCUACCUCAAUAGAGAGGAGAGAAAGAAAGGAAGAUGGUCCAAGCCUUCUCUAUCUUGUUCUCCUCCUUCUUCUUCUUCUUCUCCUCCUUCUUCUUCUUUUUCUUCUCUUUUUUCUUCUCCUUCUCUUUUGUUCUUUCUUUCCUAGAGAGAGAGAGAGGGAGCAAGCGAGAGUGUGAGAAAGAGAGAGAAUGAGAGGGUGUGAGGGAGAGAGAGGGCCCAGCCUACUCUAAUAAAGGCAAUUUUGCAUUUAGACCCCUCAACUUUUCCUCCACUGCACAGCCCUCACUGGGCAGUUUUCGUCCAGAGGGACCGAUCCCUGGUCGGGGAGACCAGUGCCCGAGAGCUCUCCCUGAAGUCUGGGGACUUUUCGCUUUCAAGAACCGGUCCUUACACGAGGGACCGGUCACUGGGAGACCGGUCUCUCAUGAGAGACCGGUUCCCGAACGAGGAACCUUCAGGACUUAGCCAAAUUUAGGCUUCCUCUCGCGGGUGUCGUGUACGGGGACCGGUCCCCUCAACCAGGGACCGGUCGCAUCGACCUCCCUCGCGACCCUCAGCUACGGGGACCGGUCCUUCCCUCCAGGGACCGGUCCCCGAGAGCAAAAUCUGCUGAGUCCAGAUCUUGCUUAUUUGCUCUCGCGGACUCAACUCCAAAGCACUUUUUGUGUUUUGGACAUUUCCAACUCCCACAAAGGGUAUUCUCUCGACAAUUAGUCGAUCCUGGAUGAAGUGCAAAUCCUUGGAUUUCGAGAAUUCACUUCCUUACACUAAGCUACAAAUGGUAGAGAUUAGCAAGUGGUUUGGGCUUCUCCUCUAGUUAUGGGAAAACCCUAGGUUAAAAAGAAGAAUUUCUUGGUGGAGGGUUCUAAAAGUGUUUUAACCCUAUGGAACCCUAAUUGAGGGUUAGAAAAUCAUGUGAGGUCACUUGAUUUCACAGGAAAUGAUCAUUUAGUGAUUCGAAAAUGGUAACGAAGGAUCUUUUGUAUAGGGCAUGGAAAGCUUAGGAGCAAGCUUGGAGAUCGAAGUGGUUGGCCUAAUUGCAAGUGUCUACAAGCAAUUAGGAGGCUUGAAAGGUGGGUUGUGCUUCACCGAAGGUGGGUUGUGCUUCACCGAAGUAACUAGGAUCAUUUAUUGUUGAUGCAUGUAUGUAAUGAUAGAUUAUUUGGUUAAAUGAGUGAACAUGUAUGGUAUGCUACUUAGGAUGAAUAAUCUAUCAUUAGACAAAAACAUAGGCAUGUGGAACAUAUAAGAUGUAGACAACUAGGAUAGAAAAUAAUUGAUUGGGUAUUAAACCUAGUGUCCUUGAACAUAGGUUGGACAUUGAACCUAGAGUCGGGUGAACCUAGUUGGAAGAACAUAGGACCUAGUGUUGUUGAACCUAGGUUAUGAACAUAGUGGUAUUGAACCUAGUGUUAUUAAAUAUAGCUUGAGAAACAAAGUGGUAGAAUGACCACUAGGAUAUGAAUAGCUUGAACCUAGAGAGAUUGACAUUAUAGAGUAUGUGACCAACCCUUGAGACUUGAAAAGUGGAUUCCGGAAUCCCAGGACUUGUGAAUAUCGAUAGUUCUCGGCCGUGGGUGCAUGUGGCAUAUUCCUCUCCCACCGCAAGAACUUCGAGAAUAUGGUUAUGGAAGAUUCUUGGCCGUGAGGGUGUAUGUGGCAUAUUUCUCUCCCACCGGAAGAAUCUUCGAGCGCUAGGGUGUAUGUGGCAUGUUCCUCUCCCUAUCAGGGAUCUCAGUUGCGGGUGUAUGCAGCAUGUCCUCUCCCACCGGGAGAUCCCUGUCCACGGGUGUACGCAGUUUUUUGCGCCGUUGGGCGAUUUGGUAUGUGGAUUAAAGGAUAAGAUGUAUGUGGCAGGUUCCUCUCCUCAGGCCUGGAUGCACGCGGUAUUCCGCGGAUGAUUGACUCAAGACCGAGCCGGGUGGUAUAGUUUGGCUAAGGUAAGAGAACCUUAGAAGUGGAUUGUAAAUGAUGCGAGUAGUUAAAUAGAAAUGGUAAAUCUACUUGUAUUGCAUUCAUAUUGCAUAAUUGCAUGUUGUGAGGCAUAAGCAUGAUAGUUAUUGGUUGCAUGAAAUUAUAUGCUUAUACAUAUUUCUGUUGGACUAACCUACUUAUUUUGCCUUCUUUGGACCUGGUGGGUCGAGUUCUUCCUUUGGGUGGCUGUACCCACUAGGAACUAUGUAUAUAGUUCUCACCCCACAUUUUUCAGGUCCACACGUGUGCGGCGCAGCGACGCGAGGAAAGGACGUAGCUCGAUAGAUAGCACCCUACCACUGAGACCAGAAAUAGAAGCGAGUCUGCCUAGCUUAGGGGUGUAAGAAAAGAACGAAACAAUUUGUAAUAAAAAUGAUUGUAUUUGGAAGUUGAAUAUAAACUUGAUGUAAUUGGGAUGUAAAAGAGCUGAAUGCUUGUAAUAGUAUAGUAUUUAUAUUUUUGAUACCUUCUUUAUGCAAUCGAUGUUUAAAUUUUGUUCCUGUUUGGAACCUUCUGAAUUCUACUGUUGCGACGCCUUGAAUGUACAGGGGAACUCUAUCCGUUAGGCAGUCUGUUGGCGCACCUGAUCCGACCAAAGUGGCGGAUGUUCAGGCGUGACAAUAGUUCUCACUCCUAUAUUUUUCAGGUCUACACGUGAGCGGCGUAGCGGCACAAGGAAAGGGCGUAACUCGAUAGAUAGCACCCUACCACUUUAUAACCAAGAUAGAUGUACCUCUACUACGUAGCUUAAAGGGAAGAAAAUGUAAAAACAGCUUGGUUGUAUACGGACAUCGAGUGGCGGGGCGACGUUCACCAGGUGUAGCCAUUCCUGUCAGGUGGGGCCUUGAAGUGCCAGGUGAUUUUUGGGUCCUAGGCGAUUGUCUUAACUGCCGGUGCCUGAGCCACUCUUCCUACAUAGAGCACGAGAGCUACUGCUAGCGUCUUUACGGAGACGACAUUAAGAUCAAUUACGAUCGUGACUUCAGUAGGGCUACUAAGGUGUAGCCCAAGGUUUUGAUAGCGGCCGUUUAGGCGACUACAACGUUGGUGUUGCUUUCUCAGAUUUUGGGUAGGGUUGUGAUGCCUACCGUACCUUCAUGAUUGCUGGUGGAAUCGCCGAUGUGGGUCUUUUAACCUUUAGCUAGUUCAUGCAUCAAACUGACAUGUACUAGAAUUGGGUAGACAUAGUUUUGUUGUCAGGUUUCUUUUGAUGCACAUAUCGUUUGUGGUCAUCCUAACACUCAAAUUGGUGUGUUGUCGAUAGUCGGUGGUUUUAGUAGGAUUCGUCUUGACUCGAGAUACUCCAGCGUAUUGUUCGAGUUCUUGGAGCUUUGGGUAUAGUUCGGUUGUGGUACGGAAAUCGGUUAGAGAAACCGUUUCCUAAAGCCUCAGUUUGUGCGGUUCGUUGCUUGGUGUCACUAGCAGCUUUUGGAUGUUGAAAGCUAAGGGACUUCCAGUGAGUCGGUUCAAGGUUGAUCUGAUUUCGAAUGUCUACUUGCAAAGUCGAUGUUUCGACAAGUUUGGUUGUGAACUUUUGGUUCAGUAAAGAUGUAUCGGGUGGCUAGAUACUUCAAUGUGUCGCGCUUCCAACUUGUUGUUGGUAGUGGAUCUUUGGGUAUUUCGCUUUUCUUUUGAUAAGUACAUUGGCUGCAGACAAUGUACUGUCGAAAGUUGGGACAAAAUACCCUUUCCCCGUUUGGGACUUUUGGAUUGGAUCAGUGUUUUUUCUAGAUUAUCUUGUGAGAAAGGUUGAGUGAUGGUCAUCUCUGAUGUCACGCCCCGCGACCGCCCGCUUAUUUAGCCGGGUCGCGGCACGCCAAUAGACCGCCGAACGGACAGGGUUCCCUUGUAUCGCGGACAGAGUCUCCCCUGUACAUUCAAGGCGUCGCAAUCAAUACAAUGUACAAAGUUCCAACCAAGAACACAUUUCAAUCAAGGAUUGCAUAAGGAAGUAUCAAAAACAUAAUCUACUUGUUAUUACAAGCAUUCACAUUCAUACAUUUUACAUCCCAAAUACUUAUUACAUUCAACUUCCAAAUACAAUCCGAUUUAACAUGAUUAUUACAACUUGAUUCUUUUCAUUUUCUACAACCAACCAAAGCCGACUCAGGGUACCGCUAUCUCUGGUCUCAGUGGUAGGGCGCUAACUAUGGAGAUACGCCCUCGCCUCGCGCCGCCGCGCCGCUCACGUGUGAACCUGUAAUACCCCAAAACCACGUGGGGUGAGAACCAACUCCAUGGUUNNNNNNNNNNNNNNNNNNNNNNNNNNNNNNNNNNNNNNNNNNNNNNNNNNNNNNNNNNNNNNNNNNNNNNNNNNNNNNNNNNNNNNNNNNNNNNNNNNNNCGAUUCUUUUACACCGUUAAACUAGCAAGUAUCCCAUAACGGCCGUUAAAAAUUGUCAAAUUUGUGACCUCUUGAUCGUAAGGUAAAUGAUGUCGAAAAAUUAUAAAAUUUAAUUCUAGAAGUUUUAAAUGCUGUAAAUAACGUUUAACGGUGUGGAUCGUUGAUACGGAAGCUCUAUCAUCGAAAACAACUUAUGAGUAUGAGGGCGAUCGUACUCAUAAUAGUAUAGUAGCCGAACCCUAUAUAUAUAUAUAUAUAUAAUUCGGCUACUAUACUAUCGAUAGUACCAAGCUCUUGGUACUAUCGAGUUUUCUACCGCUAGAUCUACCCUUUGAUCAUUUCCAUCUGUUAGAUUAUAUUAUUCAACCAACCACAAACUCAACCCUAGGGAACCACUAUCAUCCUAACCGCACAUACUUUCAUCCAACAGCUGGAAACUCGAUAGCACCAAGCGUUUAGUACUAUUGAUAGUAUAUGUCCGGAUUAUGUUUAGACUGUGGAAAUUGUAGACUUAAUCCCUAGGAAACUAAACCAUAUAAUUCUUAUUUAAUAAUGUGCUGAGACACUUCCGACAGCCUAGUAUAGAUGAGAGUGGCAUUAGUCCAGUAAACCCAUACUAGUGAACCUGUGAAAACAUUAGGUUGAGUGAAGGCUCAUAUGAUCUGUAGAUCAUGAAAUGUGGUUUAGCCUGUUGGCGCCGAGAAACACUCAGCAAUAUUUUAUACUCGCGUGCGGUCACUCCCCGAUGAGAGGGUCCUCCGGAGGUAUUCCUUGCAGCUGUGUGAUUGUUCGAAUUGUAGAAGUUGUGCGAUUGUUCGAACUGUGGCAGCUAUGCGAUUCUUCGAGAUACCUAGUUGAGGGCCUUAGUGGGCAUGUCUGAUUGAUUGCUACACUAGGAUAAGCUAGACUCGAUUGAUAUAACUGAUGGUGUGAUUGAGAUUGAGCUAUGUAGUUGUUGACCGAUCGAGUUGCAGCAAUAGCUGUGCAAGAGUUGAGCUAUCUUGUUGUGAGUUUUAGGAGUGAUGUGGCCGUGAGUGCAGUGAGACAAUAUAGCCUGCAUGCUAACGGACUAUCAUAAUGGGGUGCUGGACUUGAGACAGCAGGCUAGACCUAGUGGUCGAGUAGGUCAGUGUGAUUGGGUUACAUUAUGGUUUAUUCAAUUAUCCUACUUGAUGCAUGAGACAUUCAGAUACAGCUUUCCAAUAUUUAUUAUAAAGGCAUGAUCCUUGCAAUUCUUUCAGUUUAAUAUAUUAUGUCGUUUAUGUAGCUCAUUUUACUAUUAUUGUCUCUAGUAGACCUAGUGGCAUUGAUCGUCGUUUUUGUCUACUAUACCAGCCUAGGGCUACUGUUCAAUAUUUCUCACGCUAUAACGCCCAAUAGUUCCACAUCAGAUGAGAAAAUGAUUCUGAUUAUAAUAUGAGGCCUGCAUGCUAGUAUUAAUAACUAGGCUUAGUAUUUUAGACCCAACAACUUAUUAUUGUUGGCGGGUCGGGUCGUUACAAUUAGUAUCAAAGCCGAAUACCAUCCAAAAGUGUGACAGCUAAGUGCUACGCGGGGUAAAAUGCUACACCAACGGGGUUGGUGACAGCCACCUCUUGAACCCAGAGGAGCCACCUCUACAAUUUCACAUCGCAUGGUAAUUCUAGUUCGUCUGUAAUCUGGGUUUGGACAUUCUGGUCUGUUUGUAACGCCCCCUACACGCUAAUAAUAAUAAUAAUGUAACGACCCGACCUACUAGUAAUAAUAACUCGUUGGGCCAAAACCACUAGCCCAAAAUGCUUAAACCCAGUUAUCAUUACUAGGGUGUUCUCUUAUAUACCUAAUGUCCUAAUGACAACUCCAUUCCCAUCCGAUGUAGGACUAUUGGGUAUCACAAACUCCCUCGUUUAGUCCACACAUGGGGAGUUGUCAAUGUAGAUCACCGAGCAAGAUCGCUUGGUGGAGGAUUUCCGACAGCUCGAGUUGGAAGUGGUACCUCCUGGUACGGUGGCUCGGUUGUUUACUUUGGUGGUGCAGCACACUUUAUUAGACAGGAUCAGGAGGGCCAGCAGGCGGACCCGAUUUUUGUGGCUCGUUGGGCACGACGUUCAUCAAUGACGGUCGAUGGUUUUCAUGUCACCAAAAUAUUUGUGCAUGCCCAAUGAUCCUGAAUUAAAGAAGGACAUUAUGACCGAAGCCUAUCAAUCUCCUUAUUCGAUUCAUCCCGGCGGUACGAAGAUGUACAGGGACUUGAAACAAAAUUUCUGGUGGCCCAAGAUAAAGGCAAAUGUUGCACAGUUCGUGUCAAAGUGCCUGGUGUGUCAGCAAGUGAAAGCUAAACACCAGCGUCCAGCUGGAAAGCUAUUUCCCCUUCCAGUGCCUGAGUGGAAAUGAGAGCAAGAUUAAUAUAGACUUCCUCACGGGACUACCUCAGUCAAAGCGAGGACAUGACGCGAUUUGGGUGGUAAUAGAUUGGCUAACGAAAUCAGCUCACUUUUUGCCGAUCCACACGACUUGAUCGCGGGACAGACUGGCACAGCUCUAUAUUGACGAGAUCCUCCGUCUACACAGUAUACCUGUAUCGAUCACGUCGGAUCGGAACACCCGAUUUGCGUCUCACUUCUAAAGGAGUCUUUAUCUGGUCCUGGGGACAAAGCAGAACUUCAGCUCAACUUUUGACCCCCAGAGCAAUGGACAGUCGACGUGGGUAAUUCAGAUCCUUGAGGAUAUGCUCCAAGCUUGCAUAUUAGACUUUGGUGAAGGCUGGUACAACUACUUACCAUUGGUGGAGUUCACUUAUAACAAUAGUUACUAGGCGAGCAUCGGGAUGGCGCCGUACAAGGCUUUGUAUAGGUGUCAGUGUCGUUCCCCGAUCUAUUGGGACAACUUGGCUGAACACAGUGAUCGGGCCAGACUUGGUAGAAGAAGUUGAGGCUAAAGUUCGCAUCGCGAGGCAGCGACUCUUGGCUGCACAGAGUCAACAGAAAAGUUACACCGACCACACAAGUGCGACUUGGAAUUCCAAGUUGGGAAGCAUGUGUUGCUCGAGGUUUCUUCGGCAAAGGGGAUCAAACGGUUCAGGUUGUGUGGCAAGCUAGCCCGCAGUUUAUUGGACCUUUUGAGAUUCUGGAGCGCGUUGGUCCCAUAGCUUAUCGAUCGGCACUUCCUCCGAGCCUCGCCAGAGUUCACAAUGUUUUCUAUGUCUCUAUGCUUCAAAAGUACAUUCGCAACCCCUCCCACGUGAUUAGACCUACAAUCAAUUGAGCUUCACGAGAAUUUGAGCUUCGAGGAAGCUCCGGUGGGGAUUUCGGCACGUGAGGAAAAUUCCGUAUGUGAAGGUGUUGUGGACAAAUUACGAGGAGCACGAGACUACAUGGAAGUUAAAAGUCUAUGAUGCGAGAGCGAUAUCCCGAGCUUUUCGCAGGAGUGAUGUAAGCAAGUUUCGAGGAUGAAACUCUCGUAAGGAGGGGAUAAUGUGAAGACAGAUUUUUCUGUGUAACUAAAUACUCUGUUAACAAUGUGUUUGUGUAUUUUAAUUCCAUAAUCACUUAACUUUCAGUGGAAAACAAGUUAGGAUGAAGUCGUUACGCGAUUAUUACUAUUCACUCAAGUGAAUAGUAACUUGCGUUUUCGGUUGAAGCCAGUGUGUAAAUGGCUUCUGGCGUGUACCGGACUCUGUUUCGGGUGAUCCAAUAGCUCGUUUUCGAUGGUCCGAUUUUGCCGGAGUCAAUGGCGCUAACAGAUUUUACAUUCGAUGCGCAAUUUUUUAGAAAGGUGGCUUUUAGCGCAAAUAGGGCAAUUUAUACACUGUUUUUGCUUUUUAAACACAACCAGUGCUCCGUUUUAUGAGAAAACCCAUAGGUAAGGAACGUUCUACGAGAGAAGUUUAUUAGGGAGGGAUUUGGGCCCUAAAUUUCGUGAUUUGGGGGAUUUAGGGGUAUUUUUCCAUGUACUAAUAUAUACUAAGAGGAUUAGGGUUUCAUUAACCCUAACCCUAACCCCAACCUUCUCCCCCUCCCAUUCCGGUCCUCCGAAGAGGCUCUCCCGCCGCCGUCGCAGCCGCCGCCGCCACCGUGCCAACAGCUGGAGGAUCCUUCCUUUUAUUCUCUCUCCCCCUCUUUCUCACUCUCUAUUAUUCUCCAUGGGAGAGGAGCUUGAGCCUCUUAUUCCUGCACCGCAACCGACAAGGAUCGCCACCGCCAUCAUCCUCGAACCACAACGACCCCCUCCCCUGAGCCACCCCCAACACCGCCGUGCGCUAGGAGCAGUUGCAGCCGAAGGUUGAGCCCAAGGCACCCGUCCGGCCUGGGGACUUCACCCGACCACCAUCGUUAUCGCCGCACCCCAGUCAUUCUUCUCCGUCGGCUCCAGGAGGAUCUCCGACGCCAUCCCUGCCUUUCUCUGAGCCGCCGCAGCGGCGUUUGGAGAAGCCCUAGCGCCGCCACCAUUGCCGCAGUGUAAGAAAGUGAAUUCUCGAAAUCCGAGAAUUUGACUUCGUUUAGAAUCGACUAAUUGUCUAGGGAAUAAGUCGAAAGUCCGGAGGUGAUUGAAAUGCAUGAAGUGCAUUAAGGAAGGGUCCGCGAGAGCAGAAGUGCAAAAUCUGCACUGGAGCAGAAUUGCUCCAGCGGCGUUUGGAGAAGCCCUAGCGCCGCCACCAUUGCCGCAGUAUAAGGAAGUGAAUUCUCGAAAUCCGAGAAUUUGACUUCGUUUAGAAUCGACUAAUUGUCUAGGGAAUAAGUCGAAAGUCCGGAGGUGAUUGAAAUGCAUGAAGUGCAUUAAGGAAGGGUCCGCGAGAGCAGAAGUGCAAAAUCUGCACUGGAGCAGAAUUGCUCUCGGGGACCGGUCCCUGGCAGGGAGGGACCAGUCCCAUCAGGCUGGGCUGGCGGGGAUCCUUGAUGCAACCGAUCUCUGGUAGGGAGGGACCGGUCCCCGAACGUCAACCCAGCGAGAAGGGUCGAAAUUUGACUAAGUCCCGAAAAUCCAACUCUUGGGAACCGGUCUCUCGGACAAGGACCGGUCUCCCGGGGACCGGUCUCUCAGGCAGGGACCGGUUCCCGAACGCGAAACUCCCUCUGCCCGAGAUGGAAGGCUCUCGGGGACCGGUCUCCCCGACCUAUGACCGGUCCCUCGCUGCGAAAUCAGCCCAGUGAAGGCUGUUUAAUAGAUGGAAAGUUGAGGGGCCUAUUUGUAAAAUGGCCUAUAUAAGAGGUAGGGGACCCCUCUCUCUCUCUCAUUGGUCUUAUUUGCCCUCUUUUACUCUCCCUCCCUCUCUCUAGAAUGAAAGGAAAAGAAGAAGAGAAAAAAGAGAAGGGAAAGAAGAAAGAGGAGAAAAAGGAGUUGAAGGAGAAGACUAAGAGGAAGAAAAAGAUCACCUUCUCUCUCUCUCUCUCCCUCAAGCUAGAGCAAGCUUGGAGCUUGGUAUAGAGAUAAGCUCCAAACCCAUCCAUGGUGGAUUUCUUGAGAUUGGAUUUUAUUGCUUAGAGGUGGUUCGAAUGGAACCUAGAGGAGAUAAAUAGAUGGUUCUAGUAGCGGAUUCGAAGCUCGAACCAUAGAUUUCUCUAUCGUUGCCAUUCUAGGGCACGUUUUGGGAUUUUUUGGAAAUGUGAGGUCAUGAUCUAUUUCGAUGGGUUGUGAACCUAAUUGCUAGGUCUCGGAACGCGUCGGCGAAGACGGUUCGUCGAUACGACGAGCGGGUGCGAAGAUAUCGCCGAAUCAAGCGCUUAAAGGUUCGAAUCGACCCGAGGAGUCGAAGCGUCGACCAAGGACUAUGAAGUCGAGUUUUCUACCAUCGCGGCAUCACCAAAAGGUGGGUGGUGACCAUCCCGAAGCAACUAGACUCCCCUCUAUGUCUUAGUACUUUAAGAUCUUGCAUCUUGUGUUCUCGAUUGGGGUGGGGAGGUUUAAGAACAAACCUCAAUUCCCUCCCCCCCCCCUCCCCUAUUGGGGAAUAAGGAGGGAAAUUGAGGCUUGGUUUGCCAUCGAAUCUUCUUAUAUUCUUAUUUCUCGAUAUUUUAAUUCAACUAAUUCAUUUUUUUUAUCGUUUGAUAAAAUACGGAGUUUUAUUUAUUUAUUAAUUCGUUUAUUCUCUAAUUCUAUCAGGUAUUCUCUAAUUUGGAAAAACUAGAUCAUAAAAAAAAAAAAAAAACUCCCUACCCCGGUUUUGAAGUGGUUUCCAAAAAAAAAAAAAAGGGGAAAAAAGACAAAACCCGUUCAGCGCUCCGGGCGCUGGCGAGUGGAACUCGCGCUCGCACUCGCUCGGCGCUAGCGGGGCGCUCACGCCCGCGUUCGCGCGCAACUUGCAGAAAAACCCGCUUAAUAAGUGCUUAACGCUUAUUAAGCACUUAUUAAUGAAAACUGCUUUUUAAGCAUAAAAAAAGGCUUAAAAACCCUUUUUAUACUUAUACCGGCAAAUUAAGCAAAGAAGUUUUUAAACGCUUAAUUGGUACCAAGCUCCACCAGCCUUCAGGCUCGAAUCGGUUGCUAGGUACGAACUGGUGUUGAACCGUCCCGAUCCCAUCUAAGAACCGUCGCCGGUCACCGUGUUGCCUCAUCCGGGUUCGGUCCCCUCCUAGCGAUGUGGUUCCCCUCCGGCAGCCGUGGGUGACGGCCGCCGCCCUUCGACGCACAGUGCGGGGCUGUGGCUUUGGUUAAGCCAGACUAAGCCCGCGCAGUUGUCUGCGGCUUGCCUGUCGUGGAGGGUACAGGCGGGUUCCGAUUCGUUUAACUAAUACAUGUUCUUAAAUGGGUCCUUAGUUAAGUAUGUAUGUGCUAGUGCUCCUCGUGGUGGUCACGAUUAUCUAUUCUCGUUCUAUGUUCAUACUCUGUAUGUACAUUUAUUUCUCUCAAGAUAGAUAAUGUAAGUAAGUUGGAGAAAUUAUAUAGCUAAAUGAAAGUAUUUGUAUUUAUAUUGUAUGAAAAUGUAGAAGGUUUUAUUGGAGUGUGGAUAUGUAGUAGAUGAGAGUUUAUAUUUCCCACUGCCGAUUACGUUUUUCCCAUCUAUCGAUUACGUUGAUCCCGCGAUCCGGGAAUGGCGCUAGGAGCGGCACACUUGAGCGCGAGCCGGGACGUUGUUUCACCCCACUCUUGAUAACAGAUAUCAAGGGUCACCCAAGCCGGCGGCUGAGGCGGCCAGAGAGGUGAUCCAGGUUCACCCGUGUUCAUCUAUUUGUCUAUCUAUCUAUACCUUUCGACACUAUUGUCUUAUCAUUUCGAUGUGAUGAUACGGGCUUAGUACAUAUACUUCUUACGUACGUGUUACUUUAUCCAUUAGUUGAUCGAGCAGUAUACAGGUUUUUCAUUUCGAUAAAUGAACAAGUAAUUAGAGCACCGAGUGGGCUCCCAAACGGAUGACGAGUGUAUCGGUAGACCUGCGCAUCCCUCUGAGUUGAGUUUGAUGCUUAGGUUCUGGCAGACGCCCUGGGGUGUAUCCGAUAGGGAGCUCUAGGGUUUAUCCGAUAGGGAUAGGGUGCCCUGGGGUUUAUCCGAUAGGGUGCACUGGUUGAGGCCUCGCGUGAUGAAGACACCUCGCUGGUAGUGUUCAGUCCUUGUCUGUCACUCAUACUAGGUUAGGAGAGUUGAGCUCCUAUGGGAUAGUCGAUUCUUAUCAUAGUUGUAUCUUGGUUACCCAAAGAUAUGAGUAGUUAGAUCACAAAGUCGAUGUAACUCUAAGUGUAUACGGUGAGCAAGAGACCAAGUAAUAGUCGAUCUACGGUGAGCAAGAGAACAAAGUUGGUGACGCAGUAAGAAAGUAGAGACGUGAUAUCCUAAUGUUCGGAGCUGGGUUAUGAGUAGUUAGGUGAUAUAGUUCGUUGAUUACGUAUUAUGCUAUAGUAGAUCCUUUCGUAUUCCUUUCCAUUACGUGUUAAUAGGAUGUUACGUAUANUUUGUAGUGUUUAGACCUUUGGUUGUGUUGGUUGCGAGUUUUAUGCAACAAGGACUCUGUGCACUACCCCAGACAGCGUGAAAUCGUUGUUAACAACCUCUUGACCGAUCGACAAAGAUUCGAGAACCGUUGCGGAGUUAAAGCAUAGCCCCACGACGUCGUUUGGUGGAAAUUCCUUAUACAAGCAUAACCUCUUGACAUGGAUUUAAGUGUGAUUUCCUUAUACAAGCGUUGUGGAUAGCUUGAGAACCACGCCAAGCCCAAUUGGCUGUUGCUACUGCCAUCUCCGAAUGUAGUGUACCGAAUUCUCGAUGCACUAAACCGAACUUUGGUCAAAUCGACCAAAGGGUGGUAAUGGAUGCUUUGGAGAGGUCAGUUGAAUGUUCCGAAGGUUCGAAAUGGCUUAAAUAGGUGCAACGGACCUUGGAGAGCAAGAUGUAAGAAUUCCAAGCUGAUUUUUGCUGGAAUGCUCUCGAGGUCUGGACCCUGGAUGGAGGGUCCGGUCUGGACCCCGAAAACGCAAAAAUUCAGAAUUGGCCAAAAUUCAAUUUUGUGAAGGGUUAUGGUGCAAUUGUGCUAGAGGAAGCCUUAUAUGCAGGUAUUGAGUCAUUUCCCCUCUCAUUCCCUUCAUACUAAACCAAAAUAGAAACUUCUCUUUCUCUCUCUAAACCUCUCUCUUUCCUAGGGUUUGUUCCAAAAGGUGGAGAAUAGUGGAGAGGAGUUUGCUUGGAGGUGAAGCUACCUCUUUCUAUACCCUUAGCUUGGAAAAGAGCUUGGAUUUGAGGUAAGCCUUGUCAGAUUUCAAGGUUUAUGGUUAGGGUUUUGUGUAAAUCCCUUAGAUGUGAGAUUAGAUAGAACCCAAGGUAAUUCUAACCUAGAUUAUUGCAUGAAUCAUUGGGUGUUGUGUGUAUUCUUGCAAUAAUGGGUUUUUAGGGUUUCUAAAGAGGACCUUUGAUUAAGAUGGGUUUUGAUCUCAAUUGAUCCUAUGUUUCCUUUGAUUAAGAUGGGUUUUGAUCUCAAUUGAUCCUAUGUUUCCGCAAUUGAAGGUAAAACCGAUGCGGUAGAUCACUUGGAUUGAGAUUCCGUUGAGCCUACGGUGGUCAAUUUGGAGAAAAACCUAUUUUUUGCUUCGUUUGCCGCAGUCGGGUGAAAUUGACGACGAUAAAUUGCGCAGCUUGGCUUUCCCACUUCAUGACGUCGACAUGAGGUGGGGGGUGCUAUCCGAAUUAGCCGGAUUUCAUUCUAUGUCUAAGUUCUACAUAUUGAUCAUAGAUCAUCAUGCAUUGAGUAAUGUGGAAAACCUAUGAGUCCUUGGUAAAAUUCAUGCUUUAGUGUGAGGGAUGAUGAUCCAUGUUGCAUGAUACUUGUAGGUGUAUUAUUUGCAUGAUGUUGAAAUAGAUGUGUAUAUAUAUGUUGCAUGAGGGCCAUGGCCACUAUACUAUUAUGAGUAUUGGAGCCCUCGUACUCAUAAGUUGUUUUCAAUGAUGGAGCUUCCGAAUCGACGAUCCACUCCAUUAAAUAUGAUCUAGAGUAUUUGAAACUUCUCGAAAAUAAAUUUCGUAAAUUUUCGAAAUUAUAACAAAGUCCAUCAAGCGGGCAUAAAAUGAACGGUCAAAAUCGAACGACGUCCUAAAAAAGGAUGAUCGGAUCCUUCAAUUCAAGAUCGGAGUUAUUUGAUCUUUAUCUAGGUAGUGAAUAGAAUUUUCUAUCAAAAAUUCACCAAAUUCCGAUUCUUUUACACCAUUAAACUAGCAAGUAUCCCAUACCGGCCAUUAAAAUUUGUCAAAUUUGUGACCUCUUGAUCGUAAGAUAAAUGAUGUCGAAAAAUUAUAAAUUUUGAUUUCUAGAAGUUUUAAAUGCUGUAAUUAACGUUUAACGGUAUGGAUCGUCGAUUCGGAAACUCUAUCAUCGAAAACGAUUUAUGAGUACGAGAGCGAUCGUACUUAUAAUAGUAUAGUAGCCGAACCCGUUGCAUGAGAACCUUUAUAUAAUGCCAAGAUAGAGGUAUAUAUGCAUGUUGCAUAAGAUGCUAGUGGACAUAUGCAUGUGUGGAUAUGAUGUGAGAAUAGACUAGAUUCAAACUAGUUAGGUAAGCCUAUGGCAUUAUAAGAAUUGGAAACUAUUGCAUAUGUGGCCGACUUUAAGCAUUGCAUGCCUUGUUAUUGGUUAGGAUGUAGGAUUCCCGCAGUCCUCGGGCGGUAGGACUAUGAUCAUACUCGCGUCGUCUGUUGUGGCUUGGGAAGGUUGCGCCUCCCAGGCAGUGAGCUCCAGGGUUGUAUCACUGUUAGAUAGAGACGAGGGGUUAGGCAUGCGGUGCGCCCCCGGCAGACGGUCACGGUGGCGUGACAGUGUGGCGAGUCGUGGUUCGACCUUUGGGCGAACCGAUUAUAUUGAAUCAAGGCAUGGUCAUGGCAUUUCAUAUAUAUGUUGCAUACAUCGUAGAACUUGUACUUGUUGACAUGUUUGGUAAAGGCAUAACUACACAUUUGAAGCAUGAUAUAGAUAUAUAUGAGCAGGUUAGGCUUAUUGUUCUAUAUAUUGGCAUACCUAUUAUUUCUAUGCCUUCUUAGACCUAGUGGAAAAAUCGGCAGGUUGGACGGCCGAACCUACUGGAAACUUUGUUUAGUUCUCGCACCAUAUUUUGCGGAGCCAAGCACGAGCAUAUUCGUCGAGGACUGCGGCAUGGGCAUCGAGCCCUAGAUAGUGUGGACUACCGGGACUAGAGUACUACCUAUGUACAUAACAAGAAAAGAAAUGUAAAACCCUUUGUGAAAUAAAUGUAAUGUGAAUGUGGGUGAUAUCUUUUUGUGUAUAAAGGAGAUUUCAUUUUGUAUGUAAAUGAGAAGUAAAGAAAAAGAAUGUAAAUGCUUCAUAUGUAUAAAUGUGAUGUAAUAGAUAGCUUUAUUUCUCUCGCAUCUGUGUAUACCUUUUGCAAAUGUUUUGAUGCUAAUAUCUCCUGUUUGGAUGUAUAUAUACACAGACUUUGUUUACGCCUUAGGCGGACAGGAAAAACUCUGUUCGUUCGGCGAAUCUGUUUCGGGCCCGAACUGUCCAAAUUGGUGGUGUUGGGUCGUGACACCGAAACUCGAAAAACGACAGGUUAGCAGCGAAGGGUUUCGGAGCCAAAAUCGAUGAUUCCGAAAACCCGUUUCGACAUAUUCUCGCUUAAUCGAUCCCUUAGUUUUUAUUGGGGUUGGUUGCUGCCCGAACACCUAUUUCGUUGUGUUUGAGGUCAAUGGAAGGCUUACGGUGAGGAUCGGGAACUUUCGGAGCUCUUUGUGGGUUCUGGAGGCGUCCCGGUGAAUUUCCGAAAGUUUCCGACGAGUAAAAAGGGAAAAUCGAUUUCUGUAACUAUUCUUCCGUGAGUUUUGGAUUUGUGGGGAAAUCGAUUUCUGUAACUGUUCUUCCGUGAGUUUGUAUUUGUUGGUUCGUUUGGAGUCUUGUGAGGAUAGGACUUGACUCAGUGGAUCUUUCAUAGGUCCAGCAGAUGGUUCGGUGCAUUCUAAGGGUCAAGUGCACGAUAAUACAGGUGGGUGCUUCGAGCUGGUAGUCGGUCAGAUCAUGUCAUCACUUUUCCCUAUCUCUAUUGUAAGGUACCGGACUUCUAAAAUUAUGAAGUUACAGUGUACAUUUGGUUGAAAAGCCAUUUGAAUGGUUCCGGUGAAGUUUGGUUAAGUUCGGGAGCAUUCGGGCGUUUCGGUACGCGUAGGUGCGAAAACGGAACCCGAAAGGCUAUGUUGGACGGAGAACUAAAUCCGGCGUUAGCGUGGAUGAAAAGAUGAUUUAAAUACGCUCGAAAACAUGUUUUGAGAGUCUCGGUUCGAUUUGAAAAGAAUCGGAGGCCAAACGAGCGAAAACGGACCCCAAAAGCUGAAAAUGCUGAAAAUUUGGCUAAGUCUGGAAAUGCUGUUUUUUUGGGACCUACGAGAUCCGGUCCCUCAAGUCCAGUGACCGGUCCCCGAGAGUGAAAAUGGCCUAAUUUGGGUUGUGCACAACUUACAUUGUUGAGGGGCCUUUGUGCAAAUGUGGGGAGUGUAUAGAAGAGGGUUUGAGUUCAUUUCUCUCAUUCUCCCUCACAUUAGCAACCAAAAGCAUCUCUCUCUCUCUAGGUUAGCCCUCUCUCUCUCUUCAAGGUGGGAUGUAAGAAGAAGAGUUGGUGGAGAUUGGGGCAAAGAGAAGGGUUAUCUUCUUCAUCUUCUCCCAUAGCCAUUGGAGCAAGCUUAGAGGUAAGCUUUUGAUACUCUUUAAUAGUAGAUCUCUAGAGCUUGAAUCUUUUGCUCUAGAAUUGGUUUUAGUGAACCUCUUUGAUGCUAAAUAGAUGAUCAAAGCUUGAAUCUAGAAGUUUAAUGGUGGGUUUUGCAAUAGUAGCAAACCUAGGGUUAAAAAGGAGGUUUUUGUAAAUAUUUGGGUUUGAUCUAAAUUGAUCUCUUUCUAACCUAAUUGCUAGGUAUUCCGACACGUUGGCGAGGUCAGUUCAGCGAUCCGUCGAGCCUGUGCAAAGAUAUCGAAGAAAAGGCCUGUUGAAGUACAGAUUGCCGCAGCACGCGACGUAGGCGUCCUAAAAUCACGAGAUCGGGUUCGUGGGCUCGUGGCAUCACCUAAAGGUGGGGGGUGUCCAUCCCGAAGCAACUGGGCUUCUUUUUAUGUCCGAGUUAGAUUUUUUGUCAUAUUGCACAUAUUGUUCUUAUGCAUUAUAGGAUGUAUGUAUAGUUGCAUUUCUACUUCCUUGCAUGCAUGUCUAGUAGUGUAGCAUUGUGGGCUCGACACUUAAACCUAGAAUACAUGAGGAUUAAGGUUGUGACAUGAGAUCCUAUAGUGAUAAGAAAAUGGUGAACUCGGACUUGAUGAUGAAAACUAGUGACGUGUGAACUAGUGUAAUGGAAACACUUAUAAUGAGAAUGAGUGGCAUGUAGAUAAUGUUAAAUACAUGACGAGUGGCAUUGGAACUUAGUGUAAUAGAAACACUUAUGGCAUUGAGCAUAAGGAAUAAAUGAGUUUCCUUAGUUAUGGCAUAUUGCAUAAGAAUUAGUGUAAUUGAGACACUAUGGCAUCAAACAUAGGGAUAGUUGAACUUCCUAGUGUGAGUUGAUUAGGGUAGUUGAGACACUUGACAUGGAUCUAGGGAUAGGUGGAGUUCCGAGUGUUUGUUAACCCUAGUUGACAGGGUAUCCUCAGUUGGCGAGGAUUGGAUCAUACUCACAUAGUCUGUUUUGGGCUUGUGGUGGUCGCUCCACACAAGCAUUGCACUCCGAGCUAGGUAGCUCACGAGCGGGGUAGCUCCUCACCCAUUGGACUGGGAAGUGAGUCGGGCGAAGGGCGGGGUAGCUCUUCACCUGUGAGAUUUGAGCGGGGUAGCUCUUUGCCUGUAAGAUUGGAGCGGGGUAGCUCUUUACAUUUGAGAUUUGAGAUAUUAGCCAGGGCGAAGAACGGGGUAGCUCUUCACCUAUUAGAACUGGGUGUGAAUACCUAUGAGAUUUGGGAUUUGAGUCGGGGCGAAGGGCGGGGUAGCUCUUCAUUUAGGACAUCUGAGUUGUGAGACGGGUAAGACAAGAGCGGGGUAGCUCUUUACCUAUGUGAUUUGAGAUCUUAGGCCGGUUAGCCUAGUGGAUUGGGUAAUGACAUGAAUAGCAUAAGUGGAUUUGCAUUCAUACCAUGAUUAGACAUAGUGUAUGUGGUGGAUUGCAUAACUAUAUUCGCAUAAUGUAUUCAUGACAUUGUUGAAGCAUACUAGCAUGAUAGUAGACUAGUUGCUAGAUGAUAUUCCAUGCAUUGCUUGCAUUUGAAGGCACAGUAGAGCAUCGUUGCAAUUUCAUAUUUAUCUAUCUAUCUAUGCCUGCUUAGACCUAGUGGGAAGAUCGGCGAAGUCGGCGGCCAAACCCACUGGGAACUAUAUUUAUAUAGUUCUCACCCCACUUUGUUGCAGGGCCGAGUGCGAGCGUUUCGGAGAAGGAUCGCGGUAAGGGCAUAGCGCCCUAGCUAGCUAGUAGAGUUUCCUCUUUGUACUAGAGCACCCUCGUGUGCAUGUUUAUAGACAUGGUUGUAUUUUGAAGAGCACUUAUGUAUAUGAGAUAGAUUUGUAUCUAGAUGCAUGGGAGAUGUAAAUGUAUUCAUUUUGGUGAGAUGAAAAGAGAAAGCAAAAGAUGUAAAUGUUGAAUGUGGUUGUAAUAGUUAGAAUAUCUCUCUCUUUGUUUGCUUAUUGUAUUACUUACUUGCUCUUGUGUAUACUUGUGAAAGUACUCGCUUGCUAGAUCAUGUAUGUUGUUAAGCUUUUCCUAGGCAACAUAUUGUGCAUGAUCUUGUUUGUUUCAGCCUUGGGCGGACAGAGGAGGUGCUGUCCGUCCGGUGUCUGUUCGACGCGCCCGAACCGGCCAAAUUGGCGGGGCUCGGGGCGUGACAUCUAUCCUUCUAUACGUGUUGCUUUCAUCUUUACAUGUCAGCAUUGCUUCGUUUACUGUUUGUAUAUCUAUACCUUGUUAUUUGCAUGGUGAUAGUUGUUCAUAGACAUGUAGAGCAGGCUAGCGUAUAUUGUAUAUCUGUGGACCUUUAGAUCCAAGCAGCACAUCUAGGGAUGCAAACGAGGCGGAUCUGCUGCCCCGCCUCCCGCCCCGACUAGUAAAAACCUGCCCCACCUCCUGCCCCGAAUCCGUGACGGGUUAAAAAUACAUCCCAUAAUCCGCCCUAUCUCGUAACCCGCCUCCCGCCGGCGCCCCGAAUCCGCCCAAUCAACUAAUAUUUUUUUAUAAAAUUAUAAUAUUAUUAAUAUUUUGUAAAAUAUAAAAUAAUAAUUUUUAAUAAUAUUAUAUAAAUAAUUUAACAAUAUUAAUUGUAAAAAUCAAAAAUAUCAAUCACAGUUCAAAAUAAAAUUCAAAUGUUUCAAUUACAUUAGAAAUGAGAGUAAUAACUUAUUUGUAUUUUGAACUUUUUUUGUAAAUAUAUUAUUUUUUAGAAAUAUUUUUUAAAAAUACAAAUGAUAUUCCGGGCGAAUCAUGGCGUGGCAGAUCCGGGGCGGAUUCGCGGCGGAUCAUGGCGGGGCGGAUCCGGGGCGGAUUUGGGGCGGGUCAAAAUUUCUCCCGUUUCCUACACCGAAUCCGUCUCGGAUCAUAAAACUUACCCCAUUUCCUGCCCCGAAUCCGUUUAUUUUCUCCCAUUUAAUGCCCCCGUCGGGGCGGGAGCUCCACC
rnacentral:lncRNA from 1 species